UUUUUCUUUUGUUGGUAUGUGAAACUAGGUGCUAUAUAUUUAGCAACAAUGUAAUAGCAUAGUCAGCAUACCAAGGAGUGUUAUGAGAAACAUUUAUUGCAGCUAGUUGUUCAUCAGGAAAGCUAUCAUCAAUAGGUAGUGGGUUAUCAAGAAUAUUUUCUAACCUAGACAAGUUAUCAGCUACGGGGUUUUCAGCUCCUUUUCUACCAGUGAUAAGUAAAUCAAAUUCUUGUAGCAAAAGAACCCACCUAAUGAGUCUAGGUUUAGCAUCUUUCCUUUCCAUAAGAUAUUUUAGAGCAGCAUGAUUAGUGUGAACAAUUACUUUGGAAUCAACAAUGUAAGAUCUGAAUUUGUCACAAGCAAACCCGACUGCUAAAAAUUCUUUUUCAGUAGUAGCAUAAUUUCUUUGGGCAUUGUCUAGAGUUUUGCUAGCAUAAUGAAUAACAUUUAAUUUCUUAUCAACUCUUUGUCCUAGAACAGCACCAACAGCAUAAUCACUAGCAUCACACAUAAUUUCAAAAGGCAAGUUCCAAUUAGGUGGUUGAACAAUAGGUGUAGAAGUUAAGGCUUUCUUAAGUGUUUCAAAGGCUUCUACACAAUCAUCAUCAAAAACAAAUGGAACAUCCUUUUGUAAAAUAUUUGUAAGAGGCCUAGAAAUUUUAGAGAAGUCUUUAACAAACCUCCUAUAGAAACCAACAUGACCAAGGAAACUACGAAUACCUUUAAUAUCUUUAGGACAUGGCAUUUUCUCAAUUGCAUCAACUUUAGCUUUAUCCACCUCAAUACCUCGUUCAGAAAUUUUAUGCCCCAAGACAAUACCUUCAUUGACCAUAAAGUGGCACUUCUCCCAAUUCAAAACAAUAUUAGUUUGCUCACAUCUCUGCAAAACUCGAUCAAGUUUGCUUAAGCAAUCAUCAAAAGAAGUUCCAUAAAUAGAAAAAUCAUCCAUGAAAACAUCAACAAUCUUUUCAAAAAAAUCAGAGAAUAUAGCAGUCGUACAUAUUUGAAAGGUAGCACGUGCAUUGCAUAAACCAAAAGGCAUAUGUCUAUAAGCAUAAGUUCCAAAAGGGCAAGUAAAGGUGGGUUUCUCUUGAUCAGGUUGUGAAACGGGUAUUUGAGAAAAACCGGAAUAUCCAUCAAGAAAACAAAAUCGUGUGUGCUUAGAUAGUCUUUCUAGCAUUUGAUCAAUAAAAGGCAGAGGGUAAUAAUCUUUUCUAGUUGCUUUAUUUAUUUUUCUGAAAUCAAUUACCAUUCCAUAGCCAGUGACAAUUCUUUGUGGAAUAAGUUCAUGUUUAUCAUUAGGAACAACAGUAAUAUCUCCCUUCUUAGGGACACAAUGAACGGGACUUACCUAUCUACUAUCAGCUAUGGGAUAGAUUAUACCUGCUUCCAGAAGCUUUAAUAUUUCAGUUCUUACCACUUCUUUCAUCUUAGGAUUCAAACGUCAUUGGUGAUCAACAACGGGUUUAGCAUCAGGUUCCAUAUUAAUCUUGUGCUGACAGAGAGUGGGACUAAUGCCCUUAAGAUCAUCAAGAGUAUAUCCAAUAGCAGCUCGGUGCUUCUUCAGAAUUUUCAAUAAUCUUUCUUCUUCACGUUCUGAAAGGUUAGCACUAAUAAUAACAAGAUAUAUAUUUUUCUCAUCAAGAUAAGCAUAUUUCAAAGUGUCGGGCAAUUGUUUUAAUUCAACACAAGAUCACCUUUAGGUGGAGCAGGACCUCCUAGAGUUUCAAUAGGCAAAUUGUGUUUGAGCAGAGGUUGUUGUUCAAAGAAUAUUUUAUCUAUUUCAUUUCUUUCACGCAAGUGCAUAUCAUUUUCAUGGUCGAGCAAAUAUUGUUCUAGUGGAUCAGUAGGAGGCAUGGAAAUAGAAGCAAGACCAAUUAUUUCAUCCUUACUAGGUAAUUCUUUAUCACGGGGUUGUCUACUAAACUUAGAGAAAUUAAUUCAUGAGACUCAUCACCAAAGCUAACACUGACAGUUUGUUUAUGACAAUCUAUAGUAGCAUUGACAGUGUUCAAGAAAGGUCUAGCAAAGAUAAUGGGACAAAAGUCAUCUUGUGGGGAACCAAGAACUAGAAAAUCAGUAGGAUAUUUAUUUUCCCACACAAGAAUUCAACAUCUCUAACAAUCCCCAGUGGUCUGAUGGUGUCUCUAUUAGCAAGUUUAAUAGUAACAUAUAUGUGUUCUAUUUCAGCGGGUGCUAUAUCAUUCAUAAUUUCUUGGUAUAAGGUAAAAGGAAUAACACUCACACUAGCACCUAAAUCACAUAGGCCAUGAUAACAAUGAUCUCCUAUUUUAACUGAGACAACAGGCAUGCCAACAACAGGCCUAUGUUUAUCUUUUUCAUCGGGCUUAGCAAUUCUAGCAGCUUCAUCACAGAAGUAAAUAACAUGCCCAUCAAUAUUUUCUACCAAGAGAUCUUUAACCAUAGCAACACUAGGUUCUACUUUGAUUUGUUCUAAGGGUCUAGGUGCUUUAAUAUUACUUUUGUGAACCAUAGUUGAAACCUUAGCAUGUUCCUUUAUCCUAACAGGGAAAGGUGGUUUUUCAAUAUAAGCAGUAGGCACAACUAGGUCAACAUUGUAAAUGAUAGUUUCAUCUUUAGCUAUUACCAGUUCUUUAAUUUCUUCUUUAAUAGGGGGUGAUAUUUAAACCACUUCUCCUUAGGGAGAUCAACAUGAGUAGCAAAUGAUUCACAAAAAGAGGCUACUAUCUCAGAGUCAAGUCCAUAUUUAGUGCUAAACUUGUGAAAAGCAUCGGUGUUCAUAAAAGAUUUAACACAAUCAAACUCAAGAUUAAUACCUGACUCUUUACCUUCAUCGAGAUCCCAAUCUUUAGAGUUGCGUUUAGUUCUUUCUAAAAGAUCCCACCUGAAUUCAAUAGUCUUCUAUCAGCGAUGAUAUUGGAUCUUCUGCAUAAGGAUUAGCUAGCAGGUGUCCAUGCUUUUCCCUUCAUAGAUAAAGGAAAGCCUUCUUCUUAGCUUCAUCUCCGGGCAAACCUGCAAGCUUAAAUAAUCCACAAAUUUCAUCCACAUAGAUCAAGUGCAUAUCAGGAUGAUCGGUUCCAUUUCCUGCAUAAGGAUUAGCUAGCACUUGUUCUAUCAUACCCAAAGGAAUUUCAUGACCAAUAUUUUCAGUAGGUGCAGUAGGUUGAGGGGCAACUAAUUGUGCUUCCGCUUGAGGUGAAUAUACCCCGAACAAACCCCUCAAAGGAUUGUUUUCCAUAGUAGCAAGUGACAAUAAAUUUCAGCACAUAGUAUAAAUUUUUGCUUACCAAUUUCCACUUACCAAGAGCGCUUCACUCCCCGGCAACGACGCCAGAAAAGAGUCUUGAUGACCCACAACUAUAGGGGAUCAAUCGUAGUCCUUUAGAUAAUUAAGAGUGUCGAACCCAAUGAGGAGCAGAAGGAAAUGACAAGUGGUUUUCAGCAAGGUAUUUUCUGCAAGCAUUGAAAUAUUCGGUAAUAGGUAGUUUGAUAGCAAGAUAAUUUGUAACGAACAAGUAAAGGUAAUGGUAAAUAAAGUGAAGCAAGGUAGCCCAAUCCUUUUUGUGGCAAAGGACAGGACAAAACGGUCUCUUAUAAUAAGCAAAGCAUUCUUGAGGGUACACAGGAAUUUCAUCUAGUCACUUUCAUCAUGUUGGUUUGAUUCGUGUUCGCUACUUUGAUAAUUUGAUAUGUGGGUGGACCGGUGCUUGGGUGAUGUUCUUACUUGAACAAACCUCCCACUUAUGAUUAACCCCCUCACAAGCAUCAGCAACUACGAGAAAAUUAUUAAGAUAAAAUCUAACCAUAGCAAUAAACAUUUGGAUCCAAAUCGGUCCCUUACGAAGUAGCGCAUAAACUAGGGUUUAAGCUUCUGUCACUCUAGCAACCCAUCAUAUAAUAACUACUCCACAAUGCAUUCCCUUAGGACCAAAAAUGGUGAAGUACCAUGUAGUCAAGGUUCACAUGACACCACUAAGGGAAUCACAACAUACAUACCAUCAAAAUAUCGGAAACAUAUCAAGUUUACAUCAUUACUUGCAACAUGACUUCUCCCAUGACCUCAAGAACAAAAGUAAAUGCUCACAAAUGAUAAUCAUGCUCAAGAUCAGAGGGAUAUUAAAUAGCAUAAUGGAUCUGAACAUAUAAUCUUUCACCAAAUAAACCAUAUAGUAAUCAACUACAAGAUGUAACCAACACUACUAGUCACCCACAUGUAACAAUCUGAGGUUCCGGUACAAAGAUUGAACACAAGAGAUGAACUAGGGUUUGAGAGGAGAUGUUGUUGUUGAAGAUGUUGACGGAGAUUAGCCUCCCAAAGAUGAGAGGGUUGUUGGUGAUGACGAUGGCUUUGAUUUCCCCCUCCGGGAGGGAAGUUCCCUCGGCAGAAUCGCUCCGUCGGAGGGCAAAAGUGCUCUUGCCCAAGUUCCGUCCCGAAAGUCCUCUCCUUAUUUCAAAAUGACCUAUAUACCAGAAGAUGGGCACCGGAGGUGGGCUGGGCUGAGCACAACCCACCAGGGCGCGCUUGGGGGGGCCUGGUGCGCCCUGGUGUCUUGUGCUCGCUAGGUGGGGCCCCUCCGGUAGUUAUUUGCUCCAUUAUUUUUUUUUAUUCCAAAAUAAUUCUCUGUAAAUUUUCAGCUCAUUUGGAGAUGUGUAGAAUAGGUAACUCUAACGUAGCUUUUUUAGGUCCAGAAUUCCAGCUGCCGGCAUUCUCCCUCUUUGUGUAAAGCUUGCAUAUUAUGAGAGAAAAGGCAUUAGAAUUACUCCAUAAAGUGUUAUUAUGCAUAAAAACAUUAUAAAUAAUAGUAGGAAAUCAUGAUGCAAAAUGGACGUAUCACGAUGCAAAGUGGGUAGGGAUUGUCAUGCAAUGGCUGCACUAGAGCUAUAAGUGUAUGAAAGCUCAAAAGAAAACUAAGUGGGUGUGCAUCCAACUUGCUUGCUCAUGAAGACCUAGGGCAAUUUGAUGAAGCCCAUCAUUGGAAUAUACAAGGCAAGUUCUAUAAUGAAAAAAAAUCUAGUAUAUGAAAGUGAUAAAAUAGGAGACUCUCUAUCAUGAAGAAAUGGUUCUACUUUGUAUCACAAGUGUGGUAAAAGGAUAGUAACAUUGUCCCCUCUCUCUUUAUCUCUCUUUUUUUUCUUUUUUUCUUUUCUCCUUCUUUUUUUUCUUUUUGGGCUCUUUGGCCUCCCUUUUUUAUUUAAGUCCGGAGUCUCAUCCCGACUUGUGGGGGAAUCAUAGUCUCCAUCAUUCUUUCCUCACAUGGGACAAUGCUCUAAUCAUGAUUAUCAUCACACUUUUAGUUACUUACAACUCAAGAAUUACAACUCGGUACUAGAACAAAGAUAUGACUCUAUAUGAAUGCCUCCGGCGGUGUACCGUGAUGUGCAAUGAUCUAGCGUGACAUGUAUAAAAAAUAUGAACGAUGGCCAAGCCACAAAUACUAUGCCAACUACAUGAUCAUGUGAAGCAAUAUGACAAUGAUGGUAUGUGUCAUAUAAACGGAACCGUGGAAGUUGCAUGGCAAUAUAUCUCGGAAUGGCUAUGAAAAUGUCAUAAUAGGUAGGUAUGGUGGCUGUUUUGAGGAAGGGUAUAUGGUGGGUUUAAUGCAUCGGCGAAAGUUGUGCGGUACUAGAGAGGCUAGCAAUGGUGGAAGGGUGAGAGUGCGUAUAAUCAUGGACUCAACAUUAGUCAUAAAGAACUCACAUACUUAUUGCAAAAAUUUAUUAGCCAUCGAAGCAAAGUACUAAUACGCAUGCUCCUAGGGGGAUAGAUUGGUAGGAAACGACCAUCGCUCGUCCCCGACCGCCACUCAUAAGAAAGACAAUAAAAAAUAAAUCAUGCUCUAACUUCAUCGCAUAACGAUAGACCAUACAUGCAUGCUUCGGGAAUCAAAAACCUUAACACAAGUAUUUCUACUAACCCACAAUUACCUACUAGCAUGACUCUAAUAUCACCAUCUUGUUGGGGUACGUAAUAUUUCAAAAAAAUUCCUACGAUCACGCAAGAUCUAUCUAGGAGAAGCAUAGCAACGAGCGGGGAGAGUGUGUCCAUGUACCCUAUUAGACCGAAAGCGGAAGCGUUUAGUAACGCGGUUGAUGUAGUCGAACGUCUUCGCGAUCCAACCGAUCCAAGCACCGAACGUACGACACCUCCGCGUUCAGCACACGUUCAGCUUGAUGACGUCCCUCGAGCUCUUGAUCCAGUUGAGGACGAGGAAGAGUUUCAUCAACACGACGGCGUGGCGACGGUGAUGAUGAAGUUACCGAUGCAGGGCUUCGCCUAAGCACUACGACGAUAUGAUCGAGGUGUGUUACUGUAGAGGGGGGCACCGCACACGGCUAAGAGAAGACUUAGUGUGUCUUUGGGGUGCCCCCUCCCACGUAUAUAAAGGAGGGGGAAGAGGAGGCCGGCCCUAGGGGGGCGCGCCAAGGGGGGGAAUCCUUCUUGGACUCCCGGUCCAAGUAGGAUUAGCCCCCCCUUUCCUAUUCCAACUAGGAGAAGGAGGGGAGGGGAAAGAGGGGAGAAGGAAGGAGGGGGGCGCCGCCCCCUCCUAGUCCAAUUCGGACCAGCCCAUGGGGGGCGUGCGGCUACUUGAGGCCCUUCUCUCCUUUCCCCUAAAGCCCAUUAAGGCCCAUUAUUCUCCUGGGGGGUUCCGGUAACCUCCCGGUACUCCGGAAAAUACCCGAAACACUUCGGAACCAUUCCGGUGUCCGAAUGUAACCUUCCAAUAUAUCGAUCUUUACCUCUUGACCAUUUCGAGACUCCUCGUCAUGUCCCUGAUCUCAUCCAGGACUCUGAACAAACUUCGGUCAUCAAAUCACAUAACUCAUAAUACAAAUCGUCAUCGAAUGUUAAGCGUGCGGACCCUACGGGUUCGAGAACUAUGUAGACAUGAACGAGACACAUCUCCGGUAAAUAACCAAUAGCGGAACCUGGAUGCUCAUAUUGUCUCCUACAUAUUCUACGAAGAUCUUUAUCGGUCAAACCGCAUAACAACAUACGUUGUUCCCUUUGUCAUCGGUAUGUUACUCGCCCGAGAUUCGAUCACCGGUAUCAUCAUACCUAGUUCAAUAUCGUUACCGGCAAGUCUCUUUACUCGUUUCGUAAUGCAUCAUCCCGCAACUAAAUCAUUAGUCACAUUGCUUGCAAGGCUUAUAGUGAUGUGCAUUACCGAGAGGGCCCAGAGAUACCUCUCCGAAACACGGAGUGACAAAUCCUAAUCUUGAUCUAUGCCAACUCAACAAACACCAUCGGAGACACCUGUAGAGCAUCUUUAUAAUCACCCAGUUACGUUGUGACGUUUGAUACCACACAAGGUGUUCCUCCGGUAUUCGGGAGUUGCAUAAUCUCAUAGUCAGAGGAACAUGUAUAAGUCAUGAUGAAAGCAAUAGCAAUAAAACUAAACGAUCAUUGUGCUAAGCUAACGGAUGGGUCUUGUCCAUCACAUCAUUCUCUAAUGAUGUGAUCCUAUUCAUCAAAUGACAACACAUGUCUAUGGUCAAGAAACUUAACCAUCUUUGAUUAACGAGCUAGUCUAGUAGAGGCAUACUAGGGACACUCUGUUUGUCUAUGUAUUCACACAUGUACUAAGUUUCCGGUUAAUACAAUUCUAGCAUGAAUAAUAAACAUUUAUCAUGAUAUAAGGAAAUAUAAAUAACAACUUUAUUAUUGCCUCUUGAGGGAGUCCUGGACUAAGGGGUCCUCGGGCGUCCGGCCUGUUAUCCAUGGGCCGGAUUGAUGGGCUGUGAAGACACGAAGACCGAAGAUUAUACCCGUGUCCGGAUUGGACUCUCCUUGGCGUGGAAGGCAAGCUAGGCGACCGACUAUGAAGAUUCCCUCUUAUGUAACCGACCUCGUGUAACCCAAGAUCUCUCCGGUGUCUAUAUAAACCGGAGAGCAUAGUCCGGAUAGGACAGAUUCAUUACCAUAUACUCAUAGGCUAGACUUCUAGGGUUUAGCCAUUACGAUCUCGUGGUAGAUCAACUCUUGUAAUACUCAUAUUCAUCAACAUAAAUCAAGCAGGAAGUAGGGUAUUACCUCCAUAGAGAGGGCCCGAACCUAGGUAAACAUCAUGUCCCCCGUCUCCUGUUACCAUCGAUCCUAGACGCACAGUUCGGGACCCCCUACCCGAGAUCCGCCGGUUUUGACACCGACAUUGGUGCUUUCAUUGAGAGUUCCUUUAUGCCGUCGCUAAGAGGGUUGACGGCUCGCCUUGUUAUCAAGGAUAAUAUCAUCUCCGGAGGAGCCCUGGCCCCAAGUCAGACCCUCCGUCUCGGCGGCUUCGUCAUGACCGCCGGCUCGGCCCUUAAGCUGACGAUGACCUCUCAAGUCAUCAAAAAUCACCUCCGCAUUGAUCCCGAAUACUCCAUCUGCAUGGAUCCAGUGGAGUUGUCGUCGUUGAACGAACUCCUGGAUCGCAUGGCCGCCUUGGGGUCGCUACAGACUACGAUCGGGUCGGGCUUAAACCCGACCAGAGAGAAAUUAAAACUCCACCGAUCACCCAUCAGAUAGCGGUAGUCGAGGAGCGGAGCAACUCUUCCACUAUAUUGAAGACGAACUAUGUUCGGAUCGCCGAUCUUGAAGAGCCGGAUACUGUCCGGAAGAAGGUCAUGUUUCUUCCUCCGAACAUAAAGUCGGAUGACGAGCCUAAAAAAUCAGUCGAUAUCCCGGAGCCCGAACUAUCCAGCCCGGUAGACCUCCAAACUCCGGAUCCAAAACCAGGUCAGGGUUCGGAUUCAAUUCCACCCGCCCACCCGGACAUAGAUACUCUCAGAAGCAUCAAACAACAUCCUCAGGAAACGGUCCACCACUUCUGGGGCAGAUUCCUCCUUGUCAAAAACAAGGUGAAAGGCUGCCGCGACGAAGACGUGAUAGCAGCAUUCUGCAACAACUGCGCGGACUAAGGUAUCCUUAACGCCAUCAAUCGUCGCCGCAUACUAAAAUUCGCUGACCUAGCAACCAUUGUACAAAAGUACAGCACGAUGGAAAGCGCCUGGAAAACUCAGGCAGCUGGCUGGGAACAAUCCCGACUCCCCUUACAGGCGAAAAGGACGCGCCCCCGUGGCACGCCCAGAGGAACAGUCAAAAAACACAAACCUAUUGCUGUGCACGGCACCGUUCUGGAGGGAUGGCUCAAUGGCCCGUGCAAAAUACACACGGCGCCGGAUACCAUGGCAACCCACAGCCUUAGAGCAUGUUGGAUACUCCGGAAGGUAGCCAAGAGCGGCAAGGAUAUCCUUACCAAAGAUACCCCAGAACAACACCCUCUAGCAGACGACGACAAUAAAGUACUGGCAGUCUUCGAGACAUUUGCUUCAAACAACAAGCGUAAAAGAGCCCUGCGGGAUCUCGGCGAAGUUUUUCAGGUCGCUGCAGUUGACCCAUGGAAUGACACGGCCAUAACCUUCAACGCCAGUGACGAACCUCAAUACAGAACAGUCCGAGCACCAGCUGCCCUAGUCCUCAGUCCCAUCGUGGAUGGCUUUCGACUUACAAAAGUCCUCAUGGACGGCGGCAGCGGACUAAACCUCAUUUACGAGGAUACGCUCCACAAGAUGGAAAUAGAUAGGAGUCGCAUCGAGAAAAGCAGCACAACCUUUCGAGGUAUCAUUCCCAGCCGGGAAGCUCGGUGCGCAGGAAAAAUUACACUUGAUGUGGUGUUCGGCACGCCGGAGAACUAUCUGUCCGAAGAAAUAACUUUCCAGGUGGCCCCUUUCAACAGUGCAUACCACGCCCUGUUAGGGCGAGAGGCCUUCACGCGCUUUCAAGCCAUACCUCAUUAUGGGUAUAUGAAGAAAAAAAUGCCAGGGCCUAUUGGAAUAAUCACCCUCGUCAGCGAUCCAGACAUAGCCCUCCGCGCCGAGAAUAAAACCGCAUCCUUGGCCCUUGAGUCAUUGUCUGAGGCCCUUGCGGCCGAAGAACUAAGCGCACUAUGCUCCACCGUGGAUAAGGACGAUGUGAUCCUGGACAAACGACCCAAAUCCACUUCCUUCAAGCCAGCAGAAGAAAUAGUCAAAUUUCAUGUCCAUCCAACAGACCCGAAGAAGACAGCGUCUAUCGGAGCACAGCUCAGCCCCGCAGUCGACGCCGCACUACGAGACUUCCUGCGCGAAAACUGGGAUAUAUUCGCCUGGCAUCCUUCCGAUAUGCCAGGAAUCCCGCGCGAGUUGGCCAAACAUAGCCUCAACAUAUUAAAGGGAUAUAAGCCGGUCAAGCAAGCUCCGUGGCGCUUUUCCGAACCCAAACGACAAGCUAUGGGGGAGGAGCUAGCCAAACUCAUCGAGGCCGGAUUCAUCAAAGACAUUAAACAUCCGGACUGGCUGGCAAACUUGGUAAUAGUACCAAAGAAGGACAAAUCCUGGCGCCUAUGCGUCGAUUUCAAAGAUCUUAACAAGGCCUGCCCUAAGGAUCCCUUCCCUCUUCCUCGCAUUGAUCAAAUCAUUGAUGCCACCGCAGGUCAUGACUUGCUAUGUUUCCUUGAUGCAUAUUCCAGAUACCAUCAAAUCAAAAUGAAGGAGUCCGACCGAGCCGCAACAGCAUUCAUUACACCAUACGGGCCGUUUUAUUUCAACACCAUGCCUUUCGGGCUCAAGAACGCCGGCGCCACCUAAUAGCGCAUGAUCCAAACAUGCCUCGAGAAACAGAUCAGCAAAACAGUGGAGGCCUACGUGGACGACGUCGUCAUCAAAACCAGACACGUUGAAACACUAAUAGACGACUUGCCUCUCACAUUCGACAACCUCCGCACAUACGACAUCAAGCUUAACCCGGAAAAGUGCGUCUUCGGCGUCCUCGCCGGUAAACUAUUGGGCUUCAUCGUUUCCAGUAGAGGAAUUGAAGCAAAUCCAGCCAAAAUCCGAGCUCUAUCACAACUGGCCACACCAACCGAACUCAAGCAGGUCCAAAAACUUGCUGGGUGCAUGGCAGCUUUAAGCCGCUUCAUCUCCAGGUUGGGAGAAAGGCGCUGCCGCUCUAUCGCCUUCUACGGCGCACCGACAACUUCGAGUGGACAGACGCGGCGACGGCCGGACUGGAAGAAAUAAAAGACCUUCUGGUGAGCAACCCAAUCCUGGCCGCGCCAAACACCGGCGAGCCAGUGCUCUUAUACAUAUCAGCAACACACCAGGUGGUGAGCGCCGUACUCGUCGUCCAACGAGAACAGGACGGGCACAAAUUCCCGCUCCAGAAGCCGGUAUACUACGUAUCCACCGUCCUCACACCAUGCAAAUCUCGGUACCCUCAUUAUCAAAAAAUAGCAUAUGUAGUCUUCAUGGCACCCCAAAAAUUGCGACACUACUUUUAGGAGUGCUCUAUCACAGUGGCCUCCGAAGUGCCCCUCAAUGAUAUAAUUAACAACCGGGAUGCAACGGGCCGGAUUGCCAAAUGGGCCAUUGAGCUCCUGCCAUUCGACAUCACGUACAAACCACGUAGAGCCAUCAAAUCCCAGGUACUGGCUGACUUUGUCGCCGAAUGGACAGAAGCCGAACUCCCUAAAGAGUACGGCGUGUAUUCCAACUGGGUGAUGCAUUUUGACGGCUCCAAGAUGUUGGCAGGGCUAGGGGCGGGCGUCGUAUUAACGUCCCCCACAGGAGACAUCGUCCAGUACGUACUCCAAAUAUUAUACACAGACUCCAACAACGCAGCCGAAUAUGAGACCUUGCUACAUGGCCUCCAGAUGGCCGUAUCAAUGGGCAUACAACGCCUGGAGGUGCGCGGGGACUCAAACCUCGCAAUAUCCCAAAUCAAUGGAGACUUUGAUGCCAAAGAUCCAAAGAUGGCAGCUUACCGCAAUGUCGUUUUGAAGAUGUCGGCUCGGUUCGAGGGACUCGAAUUUCAUCACAUCGCCCGUGAAAGUAACCAGGCGGCAGACGUCCUUGCUCGCAUUGGCGCUAAGCACGACCCCGUCCCACCUAACAUCUUCCUCGAAAGGCUCUUUAAGCCAUCCGUGGUAUGGCAAGGGGGAGAUAGCAACGACAGUCCCGUUCCGAACACAAACACAAAUAACGAACAUACCGAUAUCAUCGGAGGCUCAACCACCGAAGUAACACCAUCGGCCCACCUCAUCAUGGCAGUAAUUGCCCCGUGGACCGAACCAUUCUUGGCCUACUUUAAUAGGAAGGAGCUCCUAGAAGAUCAGAACGAGGCUCGCCGCAUAGUCCGGCGUUCGAAGGCCUAUAAAGUUCACGAAUGAGAGCUCUACAAGAAAAGCACUACCAGAGUCCUUCAAAGGUGUAUCUCCGAGGAGGAGGGGCGGCAACUCUUGGCAGAAAUUCACGCCGGUCUCGGCAGACACCAUGCCGCAGCCCGGGCACUUGUCAGCAAGGCCUUCCGUACAAGAUUUUACUGGCCCGCGGCCCGGGCAGACGCACAGGACCUCGUCCAAUGCUGUGUCGGAUGCCAACUCUUCAGCAACCAAAGCCAUAUGCCCCCAACCGCCCUACAAACAAUCCUCAUUACAUGGCCCUUUGCGGUCUGGGGCUUAGACAUGGUCGGACCCCUUAAAGGGGGAAGCCAUAAGAAAAAAUAUCUGUUGGUCAUGGUGGACAAAUUCACCAAGUGGAUAGAGGCUAGACUAGUUAAAACGGCCGAGUCCGGACCGAUGAUUGCAUUUAUAUCCGAUGUGGUACACCGUUACGGUGUACCGCACAGCAUCAUCACCGAUAAUGGUUCGAAUUUCACAGCCGAUGAGGUGAAAACCUGGUGUGCUAAUCUGGGCAUUAAGGUCGAUUACGCCUCUGUCUACCACCCGCAAACAAAUGAUCAAGUCGAGCGAGCUAAUGGUCUUAUUAUGAGCGGCAUCAAACCCAGACUAGUGCGUUCUUUGAAAGAAUCGGACAAGCAUUGGGUCGAGGAGCUCGACUCCGUACUCUGGGGGCUGCGGACCACACCCAACCGUACUACCGGAUACACACCUUUCUUUAUGGUGUACGGUGCAGAGGCUGUAUUGCCCUGCGAUAUUAUAGACUCACCUCGAGUGCGUAUGUACGAGGAGAAAGAGGCCGAGUUGGAUCGGCAGGACAGCCUAGAUGCCCUGGAGGAGGAGUGUGACAUCGCCAAAGCCCGUUCAGCAUUUUAUCAACAGCAGGCUCGAAGAUAUCAAAGCAGAGAAGUACGGGCCAAGACUUACAACGUUGGCGAACUCGUUCUACGCUUGGCGGAGAAGGAAAAGGACAAACUCAAGCCCAAAUGGGAGGGUCCCUUCAUCAUUGACGAAGUUCUUACCGGUGGAGCAUACCGUCUUCGUGACGCAUCAGACAAUCGCCUAGAGCCGAACCCAUGGAAUGCGGCCAGACUCCGAAGGUUCUAUGCCUAGCGCCGAACCCUUUGUUAGUCUCCUCCUCCCUUACAGUUUCCAUAAUUCUUUCCCCCUUUUACACAUUUUUUCGCUUUAAAGCUAUCAUUUGGCUUGACCGAACACUGCGGACGUACACAUCUUUACAUAUGUACGCCCGUUAUACCUGGGGGCUUCUCUAACAAAAGCUUGUUAACAUUAUUUUCCGAGCAUCAAGCUCAUCACACAUGCACAUUUUCCCGCAUGUCUUUUCUUCGCCAUUAUAUGAAUCGAUAAGACUUAAGUUUUGGCCAAGCUGGGUUGCCUGGCUCCUGUGCUUACCCCUACAUUCCCGAUUGUUCGGCUAGGUGAUAAAGGGAGCACCUCUGCGAUUGUUACUGCCGGGUCAUCCAGAUGUGUACCUCAGACUGGGUGAAGCCAAAAGCUAGCGUUCUUAAGGGAGUAUUCGGUCAGUGGAUGAAAAGUCUCUUUUGCACUCACUCUAUUGUGAACCCCCAGAAGCUAUACAUACUGUGAUUUUCACAUCACAAUUCGGACAUGUCUACUAAUGCAUGCACACCCAGGGAAAGGAACCCUUAACGGAACUAUUCUCUCUGGAAGAUUUUUCUUACGAAUCAAAUGUAAUAUAACAUAACUAGCAGAAUACAACUUGUCUGUUCAAGCAAUUAUGACCCCUACGCCUAGUUUUCCAGGCAUGCCCCGGCCUAUUCAGCCGUGAGGGUAUCCGGAAACACUCCAUACCCCUAAGUCCGGAGGUUGAAGCGAAAAGGUCUGCCAUGACAAAUGAUAUACAAUUCAGCUAGAAUUCCACACAGUGAGGAAAGUACAUAGUCACUUGGACUCAAACACUUCCUCCUCUAUACCGUCCAACAGGCGAUCUAACUUACAAUCCUGUUGGGAAUAUUUGGCGGCCACCUCUACUUGGUCAUACACUAAACUAACGGGAAUUUCUUCCCCAUUCGGCCCUACCGGUCCGACACGCGCCAUGUGAUUAGGAUCAAGCUUGGUAUACCGAGUCUUCACCAUGGCCCAAGCCUCUCGCGCACCCUCUCGACAGGCCGAUAUCUUCCAUAGCCGGAUACGCCGCCGCGCUCCUUUGAACUGCUCUACAAGCUCCUCCAUACUUCCUAGAGGAGAGGCGGAUGGCCAUAGAGCCUUGGCAACACUCCGCAUCGCCAGCCUCGCCUGUUCGUGCACCUGUGACAGCUUACACAGCAGAUCACUUGAUGAUCCGGACACCUCCUCUUCAGGACGGCCCGUCAAUAUACCUGCAAGUAUGGCUAUAUUAGUUUCAUUGCUCUCCGAACCACUAAAAAUAAACAAGUUCAGAAACAUACUGAACAUGCCGCCCCGCAGUUUCUUGUUCUCCUUUACGGAGUCGGAUAGCUGGGCCCGCACAUCCUUCAAUUCUUCACCCAACUUAGUGUUGGAGUCCUGCAGCUUGUUUUUCUCGUCCCUGACAUGGGUCAGCACACGUUCGCCUGCGGCAUGUUGCCUCUUCGCCUCUUUUUCUCCCUCUUGGGCGAUCUUCAACUCCUUAAAUUGAUCAGGCGACCCUAUUAUGCGAUCAAUGGCAGUAUUAAGCACAGUUGGUAUACAUUCACUAUUCCUCACUAGAGGGAAAUGUUACCAGUGGACAACUUCUUCAAAUUUUCCAGUUUGGUGGUAGCAGCAUUUAAUUGCGCCCGACACUGUUCCAGCUCUUGGGCUAGCAGGUCGUUCUUCUCUGUAAGAACCUGGCAAUCAAUGGUCCUUAAAUCAGUUGUACCAACUGCUUUCAGUCCCGGGGGCUACUGGCGUAUGGUUAUCUUAUUUGGACAAAGAAAACUUACCCGCACAUCUGUUAAAUACUGCUUCGUGGCUCUACUAAGCCUGUUUCGAGCAGUUCGGAUAUACGCAUCGGCAGAGCUGAAGGCAUUGAAUGCCUCUUCCGAAAAUUCAGGGUCUUGUAAAACAGCCCUGCAGCGCCGAUGAUUCAUGGCGCUCUCCACUUCCGAGUUGGUAACGGACAUAUUCUCCGAACCCUCGGCCGAAGGACAGUCCGGCACUGUUCCUAUGUUGGCUCCCGCCUUUCCAACGGGGUCUAAAUCUCGGGCGCGGGGAGUACGGCUGGCCGGACUCUCGGAUUUAGCCCGGUGAACCUUUUUCCUGGUGUCAAACAAGCAUACAAGUUACAGUUGGAUGUGACUGUUGAAGUAUACCUUUAAAUCCUUACCUCUUUGGCGAGGGACCGGUCGUGACUUCACCAACCUUCCUUUUAGAAGCCUUGCUCGGCGCCGUAGCCGCUCUCUUUGGAGCCGCCCCUGGAGUAGUGUAACGCGCCGAACGUCUCCCCUGUGGAGCACGAGACAGUGUGAUGGGUGAGGCGGUACGAGGAAGCUCUUUCGAGAGAAGUUUUUUCUCAACGACUUACGUGGGAAGCUGGAAGAAGACCAGGGUAAUCAGCGAUAAUGGCCACUUCCGUGCCAUCGUAGCUCGCCUGGUAAAACACCACUUCCGCGAGUACCACGGAUAUAUCCGGAUCUUCUUCAUACCCGGGAUCCAGCUCCCGGUUGUGGUCCUCAGGCUAUGGGGCGGGGCUGUAAAACCCCUCGGUGAUUCUUCGCCAAUGCUGUUAUAAACGGAUUAGAAAUUUGUCAAAGGUAAUCCGGGAAGCAAAAUGAGUAAAGCAGAAGGAUUGGGGCUUACCCAACUGGGAGGAUUAUACAUAGAAUAUCCAUCUCUGCGAUUGAUUCGAAGAAAUUCCUCUUCCUCCCCUUUGAACAGCUCGGCCAGUAUUUUGGCCAGAGCGGCGGGGGUGCCCGGACCUUUUCGACCACAGCGGGAGGCGUCGUCUUCCCCGUUGUAAUGCCACAUUGGGAGCCCUCUGUAUUGAAGCGGCUGAACCCCUCGCGUUAUGGAGGUCGCCAUCACCUCAACCAUUGUUAAUCCGGACUGAGCGAGCAUCUUUAUCUCGCCCAAGAGUUGACGAACCUCCGCACUGUCAUCCUCCUCAAGGCUCCGGGGGCGCCAACCGUGGCGUUUGUUUAGCGGAACGCUUGCAAAUUCAGGGAGACCCUUUCGAACUGGGUCGGGAAGUGCAACGUCCUCGAUGCAGAACCACUCGGAAAGCCACUCUUUAGAUGCCUUCCUUGGUGUGCCGGACGGGUAUCCGGUAUCGGCGAUGCGCCACACUUCGGCUCCGCCAACUUCAAAUAUUGACCCUUCAUGGUUACGUGGGACAAGACAAAACAAUUUUCUCCACAGUUCGAAAUGGGCUUCAACACCCAGAAAUAGCUCGCAUAAUGCAACAUAACCUGCGAUGUGCAGGAUAGAGGCGGGAGUGAAGUUAUGCAACUGAAGGCCAUAAUACUCCAGAAGCCCUCGGAGGAACAGGUGGACUGGAAAUCCGACGCCUCUUAUCAGAUAGGGGAUGAAGCACACUCGCUCCCCCCCCCGGGCAGAUUGGGGGAGUCCUCCGCCUGAGUCACAUCAUUGAAGGAAGGCAGCCCUGCUCGAACAGGGACCAGAUCCGCAGGAGGAAGAAAUCCCUGCGUUCGCAACUUUGCUAACUGACUGUGAGACACAGAGCACUUCUCCCACUCGCUUUUCUUUGGGCUGGAACGCGAGGAGGAGCUGGGAAUGCUGGCCAUGUUGGAAUGCUUUCUCCUAGCAGUCUCCGGGGAUCUUCUCGGUGUGGUGUCGCGUGGAUCUGAGAUCCAGUAUCUUUAAUAGGUGCGCUCCCGGGCAUGGAUGGGGUGUUAUUUGCAAAAAUACCCUGACUUUCCGCAUUCGCUCGACACGUGGAAGACGAAGUUAUUAGCGCGCAGAAGCCGAGGGGAGCAAGAUUGAGUCAACAGCCAAAUACAUUACUUGGAGAAGGGAACCCGCCUUGCAAUGCCGAAGACAAUCCGAAUGUCGAACACCUCGUCAUUGAAGCCUGGUUCGGGGGCUACUAAGGGAGUCCCGGACUAAGGGGUCCUCAGGCGUUCGGCCUGUUAUCCAUGGGCCGGACUGAUGGGCUGUGAAGACACGAAGACCGAAGAUUAUACCCGUGUCCGGAUUGGACUAUCCUUGGCGUGGAAGGCAAGCUAGGCGACCGACUAUGAAGAUUCCCUUUUAUGUAACCGACGUCGUGUAACCCUAGAUCUCUCCGGUGUCUAUAUAAACCGGAGAGCAUAGUCCGGAUAAGACAGAUUCAUUACCAUAUACUCAUAGGCUAGACUUCUAGGGUUUAGCCAUUAUGAUCUCGUGGUAGGUCAACUCUUGUAAUACUCAUAUUCAUCAAGAUCAAUCAAGUAGGAAGUAGGGUAUUACUGUUGGGGAACGUAGCAGAAAUUUAAAAUUUUCUAUGUAUCACCAAGAUCAAUCUAUGGAGUCAUCUAGCAACGAGAGAGAGGGGAGUGCAUCUACAUACCCUUGUAGAUCGCGCGCGGAAGCGUUCAAGAGAACGGGGUUGAUGGAGUCGUACUCGUCGUGAUCCAAAUCACCGAUGAUCCUAGCGCCGAACGGAUGGCACCUCCGUGUUCAACACACGUACGGAGCGGGGACGUCUCCUCCUUCUUGAUCCAGCAAGGGGGAGGAGAAGUUGAUGGAGAUCCAGCAGCACGACGGCAUGGUGGUGGAAGUAGCGGGAUCCCGGCAGGGCUUCGCCAAGCGCAAGCGGGGAGGAAGAGGUGUCACGGGAGGGAGGGAGGCGCCAGGGCUUGGGGUGCUGCUCCCAUGCGCCUCCCCACUAUAUAUAGGGGUGGAGGGGGCUGGUUUCUUGCCCUCCAAGUCCAUUGGGGCGUUGUCAAAGGUGGGGGAAAGAAAUCCCAUCAUUUCCCUUCCCUACCGAUUGUUAUCCCCCUUUUUUAGGGAUCUUGAUCUUAUCCCUUCGGGAUAUGAUCUUAUUCCUUCUAAGGUGGGAUCUUGGUGCGCCUUGACCAGGGGUGUGGGGCCUUUCCCCCACUACCCACGUUCAUGUGGGCCCCCCCAUGCAGGUGGGCCCCACUUCGGAACCUUCUAGAACCUUCCCGGUACAAUACCGAAAAAUCCCGAACAUUUUCCGGUGGCCAAAAUAGGACUUCCCAUAUAUAAAUCUUUACCUCCGGACCAUUCCGGAACUCCUCGUGACGUCCGGGAUCUCAUCCGGGACUCCGAACGACUUUCGGAUUUCCGCAUACUAAUAUCUCUACAACCCUAGCGUCACUGAACCUUAAGUGUGUAGACCCUACGGGUUCGGGAGACAUGCAGACAUGACCGAGACGACUCUCCGGUCAAUAACCAACAGCGGGAUCUGGAUACCCAUGUUGGCUCCCACAUGUUCCAUGAUGAUCUCAUCGGAUGAACCACGAUGUCGAGGAUUCAAUCAAUCCCGUAUACAAUUCCCUUUGUCAAUCGGUACGUUACUUGUCAGAGAUUCGAUCGUCGGUAUCCCAAUACCUUGUUCAAUCUCGUUACCGGCAAGUCACUUUACUCGUACCGUAAUGCAUGAUACCGUGACCAAACACUUGGUCACAUUGAGCUCAUUAUGAUGAUGCAUUACCGAGUGGGCCCAGAGAUACCUCUCCGUCAUACGGAGUGACAAAUCCCAGUCUCGAUUCGUGCUAACCCAACAGACACUUUCGGAGAUACCUGUAGUGCACCUUUAUAGCCACCCAGUUACGUUGUGACGUUUGGUACACCCAAAGCAGUCCUACGGUAUCCGGGAGUUGCACAAUCUCAUGGUCUAAGGAAAUGAUACUUAACAUUAGAAAAGCUCUAGCAAACGAACUACACGAUCUUGUGCUAUGCUUAGGAUUGGGUCUUGUCCAUCACAUCAUUCUCCUAAUGAUGUGAUCCCGUUAUCAAUGACAUCCAAUGUCCAUGGUCAGGAAACCAUAACCAUCUAUUGAUCAACGAGCUAGUCAACUAGAGGCUUACUAGGGACAUGUUGUGGUCUAUGUAUUCACACAUGUAUUACGGUUUCCAGUUAAUACAAUUAUAGCAUGAACAACAGACAAUUAUCAUGAACAAGGAAAUACAAUAAUAACCAUUUUAUUAUUGCCUCUAGGGCAUAUUUCCAACAGUCUCCCACUUGCACUAGAGUCAAUAAUCUAGUUCACAUCACCAUGUGAUUAACACUCAAAGUUCACAUCGCCAUGUGACUAAUACCCAAGAGUUUACUAGAGUCAAUAAUCUAGUUCACAUCACCAUGUGAUUAACACUCAAUGAGUUCUAGGGUUUGAUCAUGUUAUGCUUACGAGAGAGGUUUUAGUCAACGGGUCUGCAACAUUCAGAUCCGUGUGUGCUUUACAAAUCUCUAUGUCAUCUUGUAGAUGCAGCUACCAUGCGCUACUUGGAGCUAUUCCAAAUAACUGCUCUACUAUACGAAUCCGGUUCACUACUCAGAGUCAUCCGGAUUAGUGUCAAAGUUUGCAUCGACGUAACCCUUUACGACGAACUAUUUUACCACCUCCAUAAUCAAGAAAAUUCCUUAGUCCACUAGAUACUAAGGAUAAGUUCGACCGCUGUCAUGUGAUCCAUUCCCGGAUCACUAUUGUACCCCUUGACUAACUCAUGGCAAGGCACACUUCAGGUGCGGUACACAGCAUAGCAUACUGUAGAGCCUACGUCUAAAGCAUAGGGGACGACCUUCGUCCUUUCUCUCUCUUCUGCCGUGGUCAGGUCUUGAGUCUUACUCAAUACUCACACCUUGUAACACAGCCAAGAACUCCUUCUUUGCUGAUCUAUUUUGAACUCCUUCAAAAUCUUGUCACGGUAUGUAUUCAUUUGAAAGUACUAUUAAGCGUUUUUUAUCUAUCCUUAUAGAUCUUGAUGCUCAAUGUUCAAGUAGCUUAAUCCAGGUUUUCCAUUAAAAACACUUUUCAAGUAACCCUGGAUGCUUUCCAGAAAUUCUACAUCAUUUCUGAUCAACAAUAUGUUAACAACAUAUACUCAUCAAAAAUUCUAUAGUGCUCCCACUCACUUCUUUGGAAAUACAAGUUUCUCAUGAACCUUGUAUAAACCCAAAAUCUUUGAUCAUCUCAUCAAAGCGUUCAUUCCAACUCCGAGAUGCUUACUCCAAUCCUUAGAAGGAUUGCUGGAGCUUUGCAUACUUGUUAGCAUCUUUCAGGAUUGACAAAACCUUCUGGUUGUAUCACAUACAACCUUUCCUCAAGAAAAUCGUCGAGGAAACAAUGUUUUGACAUCCUAUCUGCAAGAUUUCAUAAAUAAUGCAGUCACUGCUAAUAUAAUUCUAACAGACUCUUAGCAUCGCUAUGAGUGAGAAAGUCUCAUCGCAAUCAACUCCUUGAACUUGCCGGAAAACAUCUUAACGACAAGUCGAGCUUUCUUAAUGGUGACACUUACCAUCAUUGUCUGUCUUCCCUUUAAAAUCCAUCUGUACCCAACAGCCUUACGGCCAUCAAGUAGUUCUUUCAAAGUCUAUACUUUGUUUUCAUACAUGGAUCCUCUCGGAUUUUAUGGCCUCAAGCCAUUCGUCGGAAUCCGGGCCCACCAUCGCUUCUCCAUAGCUCGUAGGUUCAUUGUUGUCUAGCAACAUGACUUCCAAGACAGGAUUACGUACCACUCUGAAGUAGUACGCAUCCUUGUCGUCCUAUGAGGUUUGGUAGUGACUUGAUCUGAAGUUUCAUGAUCACUAUCAUAAGCUUCCACUUCAAUUGGUGUAGGUGCCACAGGAACAACUUCCUGUGCCAUGCUACACAUUAGUUGAAGUGACGGUUCAAUGACCUCAUCAAGUCUCCACCAUCCUCCCACUCAAUUCUUUCGAGAGAAACUUUUCCUCGAGAAAGGACCCGUUUCUAGAAACAAUCACUUUUGCUUCCAGAUCUGAAAUAGGAGGUAUACCCAACUGUUUUGGGUAUUCUAUGAAGAUGCAUUUAUCCGCUUUGGGUUCGAACUUAUCAGCCUGAAGCUUUUUCACAUAAGCGUCGCAGCCCCAAACUUUUAAGAGACGACAGCUUAGGUUUCUCUAAACCAUAGUUCACACGGUGUCGUCUCAACGGAAUUGCGUGGUGCCCUAUUUAAAGUGAAUGCGGUUGUCUCUAAUGCCUAACCCAUAAACGAUAGUUGUAAUUCGAUAAGAGACAUCAUGGUAUGCACCAUAUCCAAUAGGGUGCAGUUAUGAUGUUCGGACACACCAUCACAAUAUGGUGUUCCAGGCGGUAUUAGUCAUGAAAUAAUUUCCACAAUUUCUUAAUUGUGUGCCAAACUCGUAACUCAGAUAUUCAUCUCUAUGAUCAUAUCACAGACAUUUUAUCCUCUUGUCACGACGAUCUUCAACUUCACUCUGAAAUUACUUGAACCUUUCAAUAAUUCGGACUUGUGUUUCAUCAAGUAAAUAUUCUCAGCAUCUACUCAAAUCAUCUGUGAAGUAAGAACAUAACGAUAUCCACUGCGUGCCUCAGCACUCAUUGGACUGCACACAUCAAAUGUAUUACUUCCAACAAGUUUCUCUCUUGUUCCAUCUUACUGAAAACGAGGCCUUUCAGUCAUCUUGCCCAUGUGGUAUGAUUUGCAUGUCUCAAGUGAUUCAAAAUCAAAUGAGUCCAAAUGAUCCAUCUGUAUGGACUUUCUUCAUGCAUAUAUACUAAUAGACAUGGUUCGCAUGUCUCAAUCUUUUCAAAAACGAGUGAGUCCAAAGAUCCAUCAACAUGGAGCUUCUUCAUGCGUUUUAUACCAAUAUGACUCAAGUGGCAGUGCCACAAGUAUGUGGUACUAUCAUUACUAUCAUAUAUCUUUUGGCAUGAACAUGUGUAUCACUACGAUCGAGAUUCAAUAAACCAUUCAUUUUAGGUGCAAGACCAUUGAAGGUAUUAUUCAAAUAGACAGAGUAACCAUUAUUCUCCUUUAAUGAAUAACCGUAUUGCGAUAAACAUAAUCCAAUCAUGUCUAUGCUUAACGCAAACACCAAAUAAUAAUUAUUCAGGUUUAACCCCAAUCUCGAUGGUAGAGGGAGCAUGCGAUGCUUGAUCACACCAACCUUGGAAACACAUAUCGUCAUCUCACCUUUAGCUAGUCUCCGUUUAUUCCACAGCUUUUAUUUCGAGUUACUAACACUUAGCAACCGAACCGGUAUCUAAUACCCUGGUGCUACUAGGAGUACUAGUAAAGUACAUAUUAAUAUAAUGUAUAUCCAAUAUACUUCUAUCGACCUUGCCAGCCUUCUCAUCUACGAAGUAUCUAGGGUAGUUCUGCUUCAGUGACCGUUCCCCUCAUUUCAGAAGCACUUAGUCUCGGGUUUGGGUUCAACCUUGGGUUUCUUCACUAGAGCAGCAACUGAUUUGCCGUUUCAUGAAGUAUCCCUUCUUGCCCUUGCCCUUCUAGAAACUAGUGGUUUUACUAACCAUCAACAAUUGAUGCUCCUACUUGAUUUCUACUUUCGCGGUGUCAAACAUCGCGAGUUGCUCAAGGAUCAUCAUGUCUAUCCCUGAUAUGUUAUAGUUCAUCACGAAGCUCUAAUAGCUUGGUGGCAGUGACUAUGGAGAACCAUCACUAUCUCAUCUGGAAGAUUAACUCCCACUCGAUUCAAGUGAUUGUAGUACUCAGACAAUCUGAGCACAUGCUCAAUGAUUGAGCUUUUCUCCCUUAGUUUGCAGGCUUAAGAAACUUGCCAGAGGUCUCAUACCUCUUGACGUGGGCACUAGUCUGAAAUCCCAAUUUCAGUCUUUGGAACAUCUCAUAUGUUCUGCGACGUUUCAAAACCGUCUUUGGUGCCACAAUUUUAAACCGUUCAACAUUACGCACUGAACUAUCACGUAGUCAUCAAAACGUGUAUGUCAGAUGUUCGCAACAUCCACAAACGACGCUCGAGGUUCAGCACAGCGAGCGGUGCAUUAAGGACAUAAGCCUUCUGUGCAGCAAUGAGGACAAUCCUCAGUUUACGGACCCAGUCCGCAUAAUUGCUACUAUCAACUUUCAACUAAAUUUUCUCUAGGAACAUAUCUUAGUAUAACUAAAGCGUAAGCUACGACAUUAUUUGCAAAGACCUUUUGACUAUGUUCAUGAUAAUUAAGUUCAUCUGAUUAUUUAAUGAACUCCCACUUAGGUAGACAUCCCUCUAGUCAUCUAAGUGAUACAUGAUCCGAAUCGACUAGGCCGUGUCCGAUCAUCACGUGAGACGGACUAGUCAUCAUCGGUGAACAUCUCCAUGUUGAUCGUAUCUACUAUACGACUCAUGUUCGACCUUUCGGUCUCUUGUGUUCCGAGGCCAUGUCUGUACAUGCUAGGCUCGUCAAGUCAACCUAAGUGUUUUGCUUGUGUUCCGAGGCCAUGUCUGUACAUGCUAGGCUCGUCAACACCUGUUGUAUGCGAACGUUAGAAUCUAUCACACCCGAUCAUCACGUGGUGCUUCGAAACAACGAACCUUCGCAACGGUGCACAGUUAGGGGGAACACAUCUCUUGAAAUUUUAGUGAGGGAUCAUCUUAUUUAUGCUACCGUCGUUCUAAGCAAAUAAGAUGUAAACAUGACAAACAUCACAUGCAAAUCAUAAAGUGACAUGAUAUGGCCAAUAUCAUCUUGCGCCUUUGAUCUCCAUCUUCGAGGCGCGGCAUGAUCACCUUCGUCACCGGCAUGACACCAUGAUCUCUAUCAUCAUGAUCUCCAUCAUCGUGUCUUCAUGAAGUUGUCUCGCCAACUAUUACUUCUACUACUAUGGCUAACGGUUAUCAAUAAAGUAAAGUAAUUACAUGCGUUUUCAUUGACACGCAGGUCAUACAAUAAAUUAAGACAACUCCUAUGGCUCCUGCCGGUUGUCAUACUCAUCGACAUGCAAGUCGUGAUUCCUAUUACAAGAACAUGAUCAAUCUCAUACAUCACAUAUAUAAUUCAUCACAUCCUUUUGGCCAUAUCACAUCACAUAGCAUACCCUGCAAAAACAAGUUAGAUGUCUUCUAAUUGUUGUUGCAUGUUUUACGUGGCUGCUAUGGGUUUCUAGCAAGAACAUUUCUUACCUACGCAAAAGCCACAACGGUGAUAUGCCAAUUGCUAUUUACCCUUCAUAAGGACCCUUUUCAUCGAAUCUGAUCCAACUAAAGUGGGAGAGACAGACACCUACUAGCCACCUUAUGCAUCAAGUGAAUGUCAGUCGGUGGAACCUGUCUCACGUAAGAGUACGUGUAAGGUCGGUCUGGGCCGCUUCAUCCCACAAUGCCGCCGAAUCAAGAUAAGACUAGUAAUGGCAAGCAAAUUGAACAAAUCAUCGCCCACAACUACUUUGUGUUCUACUCGUGCAUAGAAUCUACGCAUAGACCUGGCUCAUGAUGCCACUGUUGGGGAACGUAGCAGAAAUUUAAAAUUUUCUACGUAUCACCAAGAUCAAUCUAUGGAGUCAUCUAGCAACGAGAUAGAGGGGAGUGCAUCUACAUACCCUUGUAGAUCGCGCGCGGAAGCGUUCAAGAGAACGGGGUUGAUGGAGUCGUACUCGUCGUGAUCCAAAUCACCGAUGAUCCUAGCGCCGAACGGACGGCACCUCCGCGUUCAACACACGUACGGAGCGGACGUCUCCUCCUUCUUGAUUCAGCAAGGGGGAGGAGAAGUUGAUGGAGAUCCAGCAGCACGACGGCAUGGUGGUGGAAGUAGCGGGAUCCCGGCAGGGCUUCGCCAAGCGCAAGCGGGGAGGAAGAGGUGUCACGGGAGGGAGGGAGGCGCCAGGGCUUGGGGUGCUACUCCCAUGCACCCCCCCCCCCACUAUAUAUAGGGGUGGAGGGGGCUGGUUUCUUGCCCUCCAAGUCCAUUGGGGCGUUGGCAAAGGUGGGGGAAAGAAAUCCCAUCAUUUCCCUUCCCCACCGAUUGUUAUCCCCCUUUUUUAGGGAUCUUGAUCUUAUCCCUUCGGGAUAUGAUCUUAUUCCUUCUAAGGUGGGAUCUUGGUGCUCCUUGCCCCCACUACCCACGUUCAUGUGGGUCCCCCCAUGCAGGUGGGCCCCACUUCGGAACCUUCUAGAACCUUCCCGGUACAAUACCGAAAAAUCCCGAACAUUUUCCGGUGGCCAAAAUAGGACUUCCCAUAUAUAAAUCUUUACCUCCGGACCAUUCCGGAACUCCUCGUGACGUCCGGGAUCUCAUCCGGGACUCCUAACGACUUUCGGAUUUCCGCAUACUAAUAUCUCUACAACCCUAGCGUCACUGAACCUUAAGUGUGUAGACCCUACGGGUUCGGGAAUCAUGCAGACAUGACCGAGACGACUCUCCGGUCAAUAACCAACAGCGGGAUCUGGAUACCCAUGUUGGCUCCCACAUGUUCCACGAUGUCGAGGAUUCAAUCAAUCCUGUAUACAAUUCCCUUUGUCAAUCGGUACGUUACUUGCCCGAGAUUCGAUCGUCGGUAUCCCAAUACCUUGUUCAAUCUCGUUACCGGCAAGUCACUUUACUCGUACCGUAAUGCAUGAUCCCGUGACCAAACACUUGGUCACAUUGAGCUCAUUAUGAUGAUGCAUUACCGAGUGGGCCCAGAGAUACCUCUCCGUCAUACGGAGUGACAAAUCCCAGUCUCGAUUCGUGCCAACCCAACAUACACUUUCGGAGAUACCUGUAGUGCACCUUUAUAGCCACCCAGUUACGUUGUGACGUUUGGUACACCCAAAGCAUUCCUACGGUAUCCGGGAGUUGCACAAUCUCAUGGUCUAAGGAAAUGAUACUUAACAUUAGAAAAGCUCUAGCAAACGAACUACAUGAUCUUGUGCUAUGCUUAGGAUUGGGUCUUGUCCAUCACAUCAUUUCCUAAUGAUGUGAUCCCGUUAUCAAUGACAUCCAAUGUCCAUGGUCAGGAAACCAUAACCAUCUAUUGAUCAACGAGCUAGUCAACUAGAGGCUUACUAGGGACAUGUUGUGGUCUAUGUAUUCACACAUGUAUUACGGUUUCCAGUUAAUACAAUUAUAGCAUGAACAACAGACAAUUAUCAUGAACAAGGAAAUACAAUAAUAACCAUUUUAUUAUUGCCUCUAGGGCAUAUUUCCAACAAUUACCUCCAUAGAGAGGGCCCGAACCUGGGUAAACGUCGUGUCCCCCGUCUCCUGUUACCAUUGAUCCUAGACGCACAGUUCGGGACCCCCUACCCGAGAUCCGCCGGUUUUGACACCGACACCUCUAGGGCAUAUUUCCUUCACAUCUUUAUAUCCCAAAACAAAUGCACGGAAUCAAACUUCUCAUAUAUUCAAUGCUCCUUAUGAAAGUUUUUCUUAUAUCCCUCUUGGAUACCCAUCAUAUUAGGACAAAAUUCAUAACCUAAGCAAAUUGCCAUACUAUUUUCAAGACUAUCAAAAUAAUAAAGUGAAGCAUUAGAGUUCAUCAAUUUCUACAAAACGAAACCACCGUCGUGCUCUAAAAAUAUAUAAGUGAAGCACUAGAGCAACUACCUAGCUCAAAAGAUAUAAGUGAAGCACAUAGAGUAUUCUAAUAAAUUCAUGAUUAAUGUGUGUCCCUCUCAAAAGGUGUUUACAGCAAGGAUGAUUGUGGCAAACUAAAAAGCAAAAACUCAAAUAAUAAAAGACGCUCCAAGCAAAACACAUAUCAUGUGGUGAAUAAAAAUAUAGCCUCAAGUAAAUUUACCGAUGGAUAGAAGGCAAAAGAGGGGAUGCCAUCCGGGGCAUCCCCAAGCUUAGAUGCUUGGUUGUCCUUGAAUAUUACCUUGGGGCGCCUUGGGCAUCCCCAAGCUUAGGCUCUUGCCACUCCUUAUUUCGUAGUCCAUCAAAACUUACCCAAAACUUGAAAACUUCACAACACAAAACUCAACAGAAAACUCAUAAGAUCCGUUAGUAUGAUAAAACAAAUCUCCACUUUUAGGUACUGUUUUGAACUCAUUCAAAUUUAUAUUGGUUUAUAUCUACUAUAUUCUAUAUUCUCCAUGGUUCAUACCCCCCAAUACUACCCAUAGAUUCAUCAAAAUAAGCAAACAACACAUCGAAAUCAGAAUCUGUCAAAAAUAGAACAGUCUGUAAAGACCCGAAUAUUAGUCAUACUUCUGUAACUCCAAAAAUUCUGAAAAGUUAGGACAACAGAGGCAAUGCAUAUAUCAUUCUUUUGUAAAAAUAUCAGAGUUUUUCCACGCUCCGGUGAAUUUUAACAAUUUUGUUACUGGACGCAAAAGUGUCUGUUUUUCAGCAAAAUCAAAUCAACGAUAUUACAAAAGCAUCCCAAAGGUCUUGCUUGGCUCAAAAACUAAUUAAAACACUAAGACACAAUUAUUACAGAAUUAAUAUUGCAUAUUCUCAUAAAAACAUAAAAUAAAAAUAUUGGGUUGUCUGCCAACAAGCGGUUUUCUUUAAAGCCUUUUAGCUAGGCGUUGAUAAUUUUAAUGAUGCUCACAUGAAAGACAAAAAUUUGAAGCACAAAGAGAGCAUCAUAUAGUAUGUGAAAAACAAGUUUAAGUCUAACAUACUUCCUAUUCAUAGGUAUUUUAUUGGGAAAAGAUUUAUCAAGACAAGCAAAAACUAGCAUAUGCAAGGAAGAAGAAAGAAACAAUAGCAAUCUCAACAAAAUGAGAGGUAAUUUAAUAACAUGAAGAUUUCUACAACCAUAUUUUCCUCUCUUAUAAUAAUUACAUGUAGGAUCAUAAUCAAAUUCAAUAAUAUAGCUAUCACAUAAAAUAUUCUCUUCAUGAUCCACAUGCACGCAAAGUUGACACUCUUCCAAAAUAGUGGGAUUAACAUAAAAUAAAGUCAUUACUUCUCCAAGCCCACUUUUAUCAAAAAAUUCAUAAGAUUGAUCAAUCUACAAAGUAGUGGAAUCAUUAUUUCCUAAAGUUGACACUCUUCCAAACCCACUUUCAAUAUUAUUACAAACAUUGUUAUCAAUAUCAUAUUCAUCACGAGGCUUAAACAAAUUUUCAAGAUCAUAAGAUGCAUCACCCCAAUCAUGAUCAUUACAAUAAGUAGUGGACAUAGCAAAACCAGCAUCCCCAAGCUUGAGGUUUUGCGUAUCAUUAACACAAUUGACAUUAAUAGAAUUUAUAAUAACAUCAUGGAAAUCAUGAUUUUUUCAUUCAAGGGUCUAUCAUGAAUCACUUUAUAAAUUUCUUCAUUUAACACCUCAUCACGAAUUUCAGAUUCACGAAUUUCAAGCAAAACUUCAUAAAGAUAAUCUAGUGCACUCAACUCACUAGCAAUUGGUUCAUCAUAAUUGGAUCUUUUAAAAAUAUUAGCAAGUGGAUGAGGAUCCAUAAACUUUUUUGCUUUCUAAUUUGGAAUAAAUAUGCAAUUAUGCCAAGAUAACGUGCAAACAAACCAAGUAAGACAUAAAGGCAAACGAAAAAGAAGGCAAAUAUUUUUUUUGUUUUUCUGAAAAUGUUUUAGAAGUGGGGGAAAGGAAAACGAGAGGCAAAUGGCAAAUAAUGUAAUGCAAGAGAUGAGAGUUUAUGAUAGGUACUUGGUAGGCUUGAUGUAGAACUUCCCCGGCAAUGGCGCCAGAAAUUCUUCCUGCUACUUCUUGAGCUUGUGUUGAUUUUUCCCUUGAAGAGGAAAGGGUGAUGCAGCAAAGUAGAGAUAAGUAUUUCCCUCAGUUAAGAACCAAGGUUCAAUGCAGUAGGAGGUACAAGCAAGUCCCUAAUAGGUGCACCUGCACAAACUAACAAACACUUGCACUCAACGCGAAAAAGGGGUUGUCAAUCCCUUCACGGUCACUAGCAACAGUGAGAUCUAAUAGAGAUAGAUAUAAAGAUAAGUAAAAGGCAAAAUAAAAUAGAUAUAAAUAAAUUGCAGCAAGGUAUUUCUGGGUUUUUGAUUUUAUAGAUCUCAAAAUAUAUAAUGAGAAAUAGACCCGGGGACCAUAGUUUUCACUAGAGGCUUCUCUCUUGAAAGAACGGAUACGGUUAUGACGAUAUCUAAGGCAAUGAUCAUGAAUAUAGGCAUCACAUCUGUGACAAGUAGACCGACUUCUGCCUGCAUCUACUACUAUUACUCCACACAUCGACCGCUAUCCAGCAUGCAUCUAGUGAAUUAAGUUAACAAGAACAUAGUAAUGCCUUAAGCAAGAUGACAUGAUGUAGAGGGAUAGAUCCAAUCAAUAUGGUAAAAACCCCAGCUUUUUAUCCUUAAUGGAAAAAAUACAAAUACGUGUCUCGCUACCCCUACUGUCAAUGGGUGAGGACAGCGCAAGAUUAAACCCAUCACAAAGCACCUCUCUCAUUGCAAGAAAAAACAAUCUAGUUGGCCAAACCAAAUCGAUAGAUUGGAGAGAAAUUAUACAAAGCUAUCUUAAUCAUGCAUAAAAGAGUUCAGAAAAGACUCAAAUAAUAUUCAUAGAUAAUCUGGUCAUAAAUCCAUAAUUCAUCGGAUCUCAACAAACGCACCGCAAAAGAAGAUUACUUCGAAUAGAUCUCCAAGAACAUCGAGGAGAACAUUGUAUUGAAGAUCAAAGAGAGAGAAGAAGCCAUCUAGCUACUAGCUAUGGACCUGUAGGUCUGUGAUAAACUACUCACGUCAUUGGAAGGGCAGCAAGGUUGGUGUAGAGGCCCUCCAUGAUCGAAUCACCCUCUGGCAGAGUGCUGGAAAAGGCCCCAAGAUGGGAUCUCACGAGAACAGAAGCUUGUGACGACGGAAAAGUAUUUUUGGUGUGCCCUCUCACGUAAGGGGAAUAUUUGGGUAUUUAUAGAGCCAAGAUUGGGGUUAGGAGGUCUGCGGUGGAGCCACAAGCCUAGCCCCCCCCCCUAGGGCUUGUGGCCCCCUCAUGGGUCUUCUGGCCUCUUCCCGAAGCUCCGUGGUUGUCUUCUGGUCCAAGAAAAAUCCUCAAAAAGUUUUGUUCUGUUUGGUAUUGAUUUUCUGUAAAAGACAAAAACAAGGAAAAAAACAGCAACUGACACUGGGCUCUAGGUUAAUAGGUUAGUCACAAAAAAUGAUCUAAAAUAGCAUAUUAAUGCAUAUACAACAUCCAAGAUGGUAAUAUAAUAGCAUGAAACAAUAAAAAAUUAUAGAUACGUUGGAGACGUAUCAAAAUGCAAUAGGGAAAAAAUGGUGGUGCUGUAGAAACUUGUAGCAAUCGAUGUUGCUCAUAAGAAGUGCAAGUCUAGCAUAUGUUGCUGAAAACCCUUGUAAUAUAUCUUUCUUAUUCAUUCUACAUGCUAAAUAAUGAGGUUGGUUGCUUUAUGUAGCAACAAGAGAAUUAUAGUGGUGCAGAAACUCAAGUACUAAAGGAUAAUGCCUACAAGGAGUGUAAUGCCUUCACUAACUUCACAGAACUGUUGACAGUACUUUCAAUAUUGCCCUGUUUCAACUUCUUCAAACUAGUUUCACUGCCGCCAUGCUUCAAAUUUUCCUCUAUCUUUGUAGGGUACUGGUGAAGUUGAUUAUAUGAAUCCUCAUGAUCUUCUUUGGGGCCUUAUUUUAGUAGCUGCUGCUACAUGACAUCCUAUUUGGUUCUUUGGGGUGAAUGUGUUGAGCACUUAUUUUAAAAAAAUGCCUUGAUUGAUGGCUUUUGGUAUGUAUUAUUUUGGAUAUACAAAUUAUUCAAAUACUCAAGUGAAAUGCUUGUUUAAUUUUUUGUGUACUGUACUGCAGUGCCAAAACUGAAUCAUGCCUAUAUAUGUGUGUGUAGUGAACUGAAUCGAUUAUGUACUUGUUCCUGAACUGAACCGAAUUGGUUUCUAAACCUUUUUUUUAAGGGCAAGUUCAUUUCUAAACCUGAGUCGAUGCAUUUCUCCUCUCUCUGCCUGUUUUUUAGCGGAUCUCCUCUCUCCGCCGAGCUGGUUUUUGUUUCUCUCGAACUGGGCCUUAGUUAGGCCAAGGAAUCGCGCAGGUUGGCAAAGUUGUGCACAAAGAAAAGGUGGGUGGUUCAGCAGGGCGUUUCCUAUUUGGCGCCCGUUAAUGUGUUAAACGCAAAGCGGCGCACACCUUCACUUCGAGCAAAGCCGACCCGUUUAGCUUUUUUUUUUCUUGCGAAAACUGUAAAAACGAGAACCGAAGGUGCGUUUGGGGUAAUUCGAACCCGCAAUCUCACCGAACUAGAUAACAUGCAGUAGCCACCAGACCACAAGGCCACUUGUGAUAACUUCUUCCAUUUACUCCUCUUGUCUUGUUCUGUUUUUUUCCUUUUUCCUUCCUCUUCCUUUUAUUUUUAUUUUUUAUUUGCUCUUAAAUCCGUGAACCUUCUUCAAGUCGUUGAUUUUUUUUUUCAAAAUAGAUGAACUAUUUUUUUUCAAAUUUGUGAAUUUUUUCGAGAAUUGAUGAACUUUUUCAAAAUUGAUGACUUUUUCUGAAUUUGUGAACUCUUUUUGAAAAUCGAUGAACUUUUUCCAAAGUGGUUAAUAUUUUUUUGAAUUUGUGAACUUUUUUGAAUCGAUGAACUUUUUAAAAAUUUGUGAACCUUUUUGAAAAUCGAUAAACUUUUUUUCAACAUCAAUGAACUCUUUUUCAAAAUCGGUGAACUUUUUCUAAUUCGUGAUUUUCUUAAAUCUGUGAACUUUCAAAUUUCGUUCACACCUUUUUCAAAACAGUUCACGUUUUUCUAAUAUGUAUGUGCAGUAAAUAGCGCGCCACAUUUUGUUCUUAAAUGGCUCGCGCUGAACCGUUUCACAAGUGCCUAUGAGGUAAACGGCGCGAGCUGGAUUCCUCUCGGCAGCAACUUUUUCCGAGGGUUUUUCCCGCAAUAAAUUCAUUUUUCGCUGCACUUCGUGGUUUUGGGCCGGCCCAUCAGGUGCGGCUGCGAGCGCCAAUACCCUGAACGUAGGAGCUCCCGGGCAGAUAACGCGCGCAGGCGUCAAAAGGACGUGGCUUCGCUGAAGCCUGGCCACCCUCGCUCCAGUUUUGGGCCGGCCCACGGUUUCUCUGCUUUUUCUCUUUUUCUUGUUUCUUUCAUUUAUUUUUUCUGUUUCUGUUUCUAUUUCUAUUUCUAUUUCUGUUCUUUUCAUUUUUUUGCUUUUGUUUCUUUUUUCUUGUUUUAUACACAGUUCAUUGCCAGCGUAAAAAAAUGUUCUUCAUAUAUUUAAGAAAAUGUUUGCACUAUAUUAAGAAAAGGCUCAGCAUAUUUUUCAGAAAUGUUAAUUGUGUACUUUAAAAUUGUUCAACAUAUAUUCACAAAAAAUUCAAUGUGUACUUAAAUAUUGUUCAGCGUAUAUCACUAAAAUGUAAUGUGUAUUUAAAUAUUUUUCAGCGUAUAUCACUAAAACGUUUAAUGUCUAUUUAAAUAUACAAUCAGCGUAAAUCACAAAAUGUUCAGUGUGUAUUUAAAGUUUGUUCAGCAUAUAUCACAAAAUGUUCAAUGUAUAUUUGAAAAUUGUUCAUCAUUUGAAAUUUCAAUUUUUUUGUCAUGUUUUCAAUAAUUUUCACGUUUUUAAAGUUUGAUCGAAUUUCUAAAUUUGUAAGAUUUUCAUACAUUAUGAAAAAAUCAUUUUUUUAAGAAAUGUUGAAACUUUGAAAAAAGAAACGGAUAUUUAGGCUAACGGGCGUCGAUUAGGGACUCUCGUUUAGCAGUUAUGCUUGAUCAGGGUGGACAUGUGUGGCUUAUUUCUCCUCAUGACCUAACUUGUAUUCCCUUAAACAUCAUCGGUGGUCAAUAAAAUGUUGGCAAAUCUCAAAAAAGAAAACAGCCAUGGGAUUCUGUCUAAAAAAACCAGCCGUGGGAUGAGAAAUCAAUGCCAUCCGCGAGGGAAAAGGUAGAGGCUGUCUUCGCGGCAUAGAAUCUGCGCCACGCAUGGAAGCGAUCCAGAAUGACCCACACAAAGGAUAACCUUUAACUCCCCGCCGAACAAAAUAAUAACCCUUAACUAGUGAUUUCCCUGAAACGAUCACCGAAAAAAGAACGCAAAAAAGGAGAUUCUAUGCAUGUCUCUCCGAGAGCCCUUUUUGAAAAGCACUAACCGGCACGUGUAAAUGUAAUCCAUUUUAUCAUAUACUCCCUCCGUAAACUAAUAUAAGAGUGUUUAGAUUACUACUUUAGUGAUCUCAACGCUUUUAUAUUAGUUUACAGAGGGAGUACUGUUUAGACUUGAGGGAAAAAAAGAGGAAAGAGAAUCCUGUGUAAUAGCUGAAUGUGAGUCUCUCCUGAACCUAACUCCUAUGGCUUAGCAUAUUGUCCAACGACUGUAGUUAAAGAUUAAGCUCAUGAACUGCUUCUAGAGUUCUCGUCUAGUAUCCAGGUUAAGCUGAGCCCGUUCUCAUAAACUCCAUUCGUCACCAAUCCAGACUCACACUGUCAGCGAGACACCAGGCGGAUGAAGGACGAAAAGACUCUUAAGUUUCCUCUAGCAGGUGGUUGCUUAGCCCCAAAGGCUCGGUGAGUAGAGUUCAUCAACCAUUCCUCUUGGGAACUCUUGCCUACAGCUUCACGCCUUCACUUAACAGAAAUGGUUGACAACGUGCUACCGCCCCCCUGUUCACCUUUCCUGGCCACAAGUGGUCCGGGUUAGGCAAGAGAACCUUUAGGUUAGGCACUUCGUACCAAAUAUUUGUACAUGUUCAAGUUCCAACAGAAGCACAGAGCGGCCUCGCCUUAUGCUUCACCAAUGAUCCAGGUACAGAGAACAAGAUCCAACAAUUAAUGGUCCCUGUUAUUUAACAAUGGUUGGCCAUUGAAGAAAAGGAAGACCAAAUAUAUUCCACCAUUGCACAAAACUUCAAUAGGCCACCAGAAAUUACCGGUGAACCAGCAAUAUAUUAUGGCGAAUCCUUUUCGCCUCAAGUUAGAUAUGCAUCAAGAACAGGAUAUAUAGUGUACCUUUUUUUUUAGAUUCACACCUCAGAAGUCAAGGAUCCUGAGAUUCUACAGCUCCAGUCACAGCAUGACUGAUUGCAUGAAAGGGACCUUCAGUCGAAGGAAAACAGUCAACAACAAUAAAAGGGCAUAAUGCAAACAGCGGCCAAAUAAAUAAAAUAAAAAUCUCAGCAUACGGAGCACACAAUGAGAACAUGCAAAGAUAUAAAACUGUAAGUGCGACAGAAAUAAGAAAAUGAAUUCACUGCACAUCUACCAGUCGUGCUCAAGGGACCAAUGCUAGAAAGGGACGAACCCUCAUAAGUUUACAAUAAUAUAAGCAGAAAGAUGGGCAUCAACAAUUUGACAGUAACAAGAUGUGAAGCUUCCCGUAUACUGUUCGCUAUGCCAUCCCUCUCAUGCUUCAUUUGGCAGUUUUCCUUGUAUAGGUUAUAUCUUGAUCAACCAUACUUCUGCCAAUUGUGCAUUACCUUACCAGAAAGACCUGGUUGCCUAUAUUCAUGACCUUCAUACAAACUUUUCUUCCUACUGACCACCCAACACGUGUCAGCUUGCAUCCUAAUCCACAUGUUAGCUUCUUCUCAUUGUAUACGCAAUGCUUUCACCAAUCCAGAGAUUGCAAAAAUUCCUGACAGAUUGUUAAUUGCUGAACAAGAUAUAUUACUCAUACAAUGAUGCAAUCAGAUUAACAUUAGCCAUGGAUAAAGCUCAGGAAAAUAAAAGCAUAAUUAUUGGUCACUUGGGAUUAUGAUUGCUACUCUAGUAGUAGAAUACAGGUGCAUGUGCCCAGAGGCCAAGUACUUUUCCAUGUACAUGGAUAACACAAGACAAAUUUCGUCCAGAAGCGUAAACUAAUAUCAUGCUUUCUACUCCCUCCAUUCCUAAAUAUUUGUCUUUUUAUAGAUUUCAAAUGAACUACCACAUACGGAUGUAUAUAGACAUAUUUUAGAGUGUAGAUUCACUCAUUUUGCUCCAUAUGUAGUAACUUGUUGAAAUCUCUAGAAAGACAAAUAGUCCCUCCGUUCCUAAAUAUUUGUCUUUCUAGAUAUUUCAAAUGGGACUACCACAUACGGAUGUAUAUAUACAUAUUUUAGAGUGUAGAUUCGCUCAUUUUGCUCCGUAUGUAGUCGCUUAUUGAAAUCUCUAGAAAGACAAAUAUUUAGGAACGGAGGGAGUAUUUAGGAACGGAGGGAGUAGUCAAAUACUACCUCUGUAACUUAAUAUAAGAUGUUUUUAACACUAUGACAGUGUCAAAAAACGCCUAAUAUUAAGUUACGGAGGGAGUAUUAACUUGGCCAUACGCUUGCAUGGUCCUUUCAGACAUAGUCACUACUCAAUUCAACACUCACAGGAAAGACCACUGGAAAAUGGUACACUGGCCCCUAGAUUUGUACAAAGUUCAGGCAACAUAUAUAAUAGUUCGAGCUAAAAGGAACAAAAAGUGGUGUACUCGAUAAUCUGCAUUAGAGUGUAUAUACAUGAGAAGCGCCCACAAAAAGAAAACCGCAUAAAAAUGGACAUUGCUUGAGCAAGAAACUUGUGAGAACUGACACCAAUGAUGAUGCUUCAGGAAAGUUGGAGAAAGUCUAUUCAACCAGACCAGGCUUUCAGGAAUAACUUUAUGUGGAGAGAGCCUGCAGUGAUUCCAUUGUAAAGAAACUCUUGAACCACCACACCUACUGCAUCCUUCUCCUUGCUUCUUAGCUUGGCUUACCAUCUUCUCUAAAACAACCAUGCUCUGCCCCCCAAUAUAAGUACUCACCUGCUGGCCACACAAGAUGCUAGAAGCCAGGUAGACACUGAAACAGGAGUUUGAGCAGAGUAAUAGGGCCACCUCUCUUCUGUGUGCAGUAUCAAGCGAAAUGGACAACAGCAUGCCUGUAGUCAGUAAGAUGUAUUGCACAAGCACUCCAGCGGCGCUGAUGAUCAGGAGAAGACCCAUGGUAGUGAAUGGCGGUGGUUUUGUUGUUACUGACUUUAGUCAUAAUGUUGUUUUCAUCGUGGAUGGUUGUGGUAUACUUGGAUCUAAGGGAGAGCUCAUGGUGAAAGACAGUGAUGGACAACAGAUACUAUUCAUUUCUAGAAAGGUAAUACAUCAUAAGUUGCUGAAUAGUAACUCGUAGAUAGGCUUAUUUUCUCUAUUACCAGUUGUUUGAAGUGCUUCACCUGAAUUAAAAGCUAAUCGAUUAGGAGUGGAACUAUUUGCUCCANNNNNNNNNNNNNNNNNNNNNNNNNNNNNNNNNNNNNNNNNNNNNNNNNNNNNNNNNNNNNNNNNNNNNNNNNNNNNNNNNNNNNNNNNNNNNNNNNNNNNNNNNNNNNNNNNNNNNNNNNNNNNNNNNNNNNNNNNNNNNNNNNNNNNNNNNNNNNNNNNNNNNNNNNNNNNNNNNNNNNNNNNNNNNNNNNNNNNNNNNNNNNNNNNNNNNNNNNNNNNNNNNNNNNNNNNNNNNNNNNNNNNNNNNNNNNNNNNNNNNNNNNNNNNNNNNNNNNNNNNNNNNNNNNNNNNNNNNNNNNNNNNNNNNNNNNNNNNNNNNNNNNNNNNNNNNNNNNNNNNNNNNNNNNNNNNNNNNNNNNNNNNNNNNNNNNNNNNNNNNNNNNNNNNNNNNNNCAAACAAAAAUAAACAAGGGCACAAGUAACUUCAACGCAGUUCUCUUGAGACAGUGAAAACUUAACUGUCGACAGCCAAGAAGAUAAACACAAACGAUCUCUCGCUCAUGUCCGUAUACCCUGUAUUUCUUUGAAUAUCACCAGAAUGAAACUCUCUAUGUGCUCCAUUACAGGGAGGAAUUGUACAGGUUCUAAGCACGCGGAACAAAUGGAAUGGGUACUCAAUGGAUUACCAAGGGAAAAACAAGUUGGUCUUUAGCCUAACUGAUCCCAAAUCAUGCAUAGCAAAAGGUGCACCGGUUAGAAUUCACAUUGAACCAAAGAGGCACUGCAAUAAUUGGGAUUUCGAGGUCUGUGGAUCUUUUGCAGAUAGGAACUGCACAAUAAUUGAUUGCACUGGAAAAAUAGUGGCGCAGGUAUGCCAUCCAUACCUUGAUAAUUCUUCUGCAAGCAAUACAUUCUACAUAUGUAAUUGCAGUGAAUUGUAUUCUUUUGUAGAGUUCCUUUGUGUCAUCACUAAAUUACAAAGCAUGUGCAUAUAUUUGCUUCAAUAUGGCCAAAUUAGUUGUGAACUACAGAUUCCCCAUGAGUCAUAAUUAACAGAAUUACUCCAUGACAACACGGGAAAGGAUAAGCAAAGGCUAUCCUAAAGUGAGAUGUUGGUAAAGGGAUGGUGUUUAUUUCCAGUGGUUUUGCUUGAUUGAUAUUGUUGAGAUCGAGAGGGAGAGCAGUCCCUUCAGACAGCUCGAGCUCUCUUGUCUGGUUGCCCAUGCGAGUUCUGUGUGUGUGUGGCGGACAGAAACUUGAGGACUGAAUGCCCCCUUCUAGGUCAGCACGCUCACAUGGGCUUGGGCCCUAAGUGACAAAGCUUGAUGGGCUUGGGCCCAUACCAGUUCAGGCCCUGUUUGGUUCGGCUGUGGAUUUUUAAAAGCAGCUGUGAAAAAUCUGCUGUGGAAAACCAGCUGUGGAAAAUCUGAUGUGAAAAAGAUGUAGGUCAUUUGGCAAACCAGCUGAUACAGCUUUUUUAGAUUUUGGCCCGCAGCGGAAUCAGAUUUUGGAAAGCACGUCCUGGGCUGCUUCCGCUUUUGGUUCAGAUUUUGGCAGCGGAUUUCUGGAAUCGGAUUCUGCUGGGUUCGCCCUUUGGUUCAGAUUCUGAUGCGCGGCAGCGGAAUCCGUCGAUAAAAGCUGAACCAAACAGGGCCUCAACAGUUAUUAUAAAUGUCUAUGCAAGUGUGUCUAGUAAAGUUUAGAAGAAUUUCCAUGCAUGCCACAAGAACAUACAUAUCUUUUGCAGAUAGAUACUGCACGAUAAUUGAUUGUACCAGCAAAAUAGUAGUGCAGGUAUGCCACACAUACCUUCAUAAUCCCCUGCAAGAAAAAGUUUCUACAUGUGCUUUUUCAGCAAGUUAUAUUUAUUUUGUAAGAUACAUUUGUAUCAACUCCGCCUAUGUCUUCUAGGCAUAGCCGGUCCCAAGCCCGGGUAAAGGAGGAGGGUUGUGAUAGGCUUGGCGAGCCAACGUAAAAACUAGCCAGUCCCAUAGGUAUGAAACCCAUUUGAGCGAGAGUAGUACUAGGAUGGGUGACCUCCUGGGAAGUCCUCGUGAAAGGGUUUCAUAUCUAAGGGUUGUGAUAGGCUUGGCGAGCCAACGUAAAAACUAGCCAGUCUUUUGGGUAUGAAACCCAUUUGGGCGAGAGUAGUACUAGGAUGGGUGACCUCCUGGGAAGUCCUCGUGAAAGGGUUUCAUAUCUAGCCUACCCCAACUUGUUUGGGAUAAAAGGCUUCGUAAGUAAAAGUAUACAUUUGUGUUAUCACAAAGUUACUAGAUGCACGUCCUACUGAAACACAAGCUUGAUCUAGAGCCAAGGUUGCUUAGAUAAAUCCACAGUUCAUCCUCUACCUCAUGGACUGCCAGACACGCGGAUUACCACAUAACACACAUGUGUGUGUGGGUGCGACACAUCAACGCUUGAUCCAUCCAAGGACGGAACUCAUUUGUAGAGUUCUACUGUGUUAUCACAAAAUUAUUGAGUACAUGCAUAUCAUUCUGUCAUGGAUUAUAAUUAACAAGAAUUAUUCCAUGACAUCAGGGAAGAACAAAUAUGCUAUCUAAAGUGAGAUGUUAGUUACUUAGUAAAGGAAUGGUGUUUGAUUAUUUCCAGUUAUUUUGUUUGAUUGUUGUUCUACAUGUCUGUGCAAGUGUGUCUGGUAAAGUGUAUAAGAAUUUCAGUGCAUGCCACAAGCAUAUGUGCAUUACAAAAAAGAUAGAGAUCUAACAAAUAUAUUCUUCAAACUGUAGAUGGGGAAGAAAGAGCUGAUAGAAAGUAAUGACUUCUACCACGUGACAGUGCAGUCAGGAUGUGACCAGGCUUUUAUCAUUGGGGUGAUGGCAGUUCUUGACAACAUCCAUGGAGAAUCCACCAGAUGUUAAUAAAAUGAAUGGGUGAAUAUGCUCACUUACAGCCACCUACUUUAGUCUUGAAGUAGAGGUCAAACGAAUGUAUGUCCACUGGCAAGUGACAACAUCCCACUGUAUCAGGCUAUCAGCUACACUGCAUAUUAGAUUUAGCCAGUUUUAGAAGUUGGCAAGUGAUUAAUUGAUGAUGUAGUAGUGCCAAGAGUUUAUUAUAUGAGCUUAACAUGUGUGCUGCUCAAUUAUUUCUUUGACAAACAGUGGUUCACACAACAAAGCAAAAGGAGCACACAAAAACACAGGCGCACAUAACAUUCCUGAGACAGCUUUAUGAAUCUAUAUUGACUACUCUAUGUAUUGAAAUAACAGGUCACUGAAUAACGAAGUAUUUACCCAUUGAACUUCGCUCAAUGGAGCAUAUUAUGCUUAAUUAGCAGGCUAUCAUGAUCUUAACACUGACGUCCUACGAAACAAGGUGUUUCGCAAAGUUCUAGCAGAUAAACACAAUGUUUUCAUUAAAAUAGGUAAACCCGCGUUAGCUUUUCUGGUACUCAGUUUAUAAGACUUCUAAGCCAGACUGCUACGCGCCUCAACAUGCCAUACAUUAUGUCGCAAAAACUAGAAAGUUGCUAGUACUAAGUAACAAAUAUGUUUAAGAAACAACAUAACAAGCAUCACGGCAGAAGGUGUAACUUACUCAAAAAACAAAGAAGGUGUAACUGUUAAAACUGUAUGCUCAGACUUGUUAUUCUGUAGGCAUGGUUGUAGGAAAAAUGCGCACAAUGUGCAUGACAGUUGAAAUGAUCAACUUCCCUUUCCUAAAAUAUUUUCUAUACUGGAGUGAACAAUGAACAAGGCACAAUACAAGUUAAGUACCUCUGCUAGAGGGUAAAUUACUUCCAUCGUGUUCUUCAACUGCUGAUUCCCCCUCAUUUAGGUAACAGCUCCUCCAAAACGAAGAAGGUUCUUGACAGGCAGGUCCAAGUGACUGGAUGAUCUUAUCAUCUACCCAGGGAGUCGACAAAUCAUACAUGAGGUGUUGAGGAGUGUGUCAAGGGUCCAUUGAGCAAGUGAUGUAGCACUACUGCAGCUGAUCAGCAGGCCCCUUGAAAUUUACAGCUCCACCAUUUGCUUCCCUUUAUGGAAUUCAUCGAAUCACUUCAACGUAUACACGGAGCACCAAGCUGCUUGUCCUUUUCUUUCUUAGCAUGAAACUUUGGAUUAGUCUCUCAAUAGUUCCAUACCCUUGGUGUAACCAAGAUGUCAUUGGUUACAUUUGAGUUCCUUUUGACUGAAUGUUCUGCAAAACCACUAAUGUAAAAAUAAAAUGUCAGUAUAAUGCCUUCCAAUAUUCAAUCGUGUUUCAAUGGAAUACAAGUGCAGUACAGUUCACAUGACUAGACAUGUAUAUAAAAAUCAGGAAUUUCGCAAGUCAGCUCUCUAAUGUCUAUAGAAUAAGAUUAGCGUGUGGGCAGUAAAAUAUUGCUCACAUUUUCUACGGACUCGAACAGACUAUUAAUCACAAUCACCACCACUGAUUAACGCUGCUAUAUAUCUAUGCUGAACUAAAAUGUGAAGUAAACAUUAAACAGGCCACUCAACCUAUUAAAUCAAACACAUUUUGGAGAGUUAACGUGAUACUUAUGAAGUUAUACAAUUUUGUAUGGAAGUAGUUCAAAUGUGCAAAAUGUAGUAGUUAGUAUAGUUGAUGCAAGAGGCCUUUGAUUCAAAACAACGACUCACCAGAGCUUGUUCUUCUUAUUUGGACAAGCGCCAGAUGCCCCGUAAUUCGCACCGAAAACAGUCAAGAUGCUGUUCCUUACAUUCUCCAUUGUAUCAUUCAGCUAUACAGCUACUGAAAUGUCUACGCUUUGGGUAACAGGAGAAGGAUCUUUCCAACUCGAUGAAGCACCCCCUGCUGCAAUACGCAUUAUGUGAUCCACCUCACCAGGCAUCCCAGACUUUAAAAGGCAGCUAAUAAAAGAAUUGACUACUAUACUGUCAGGGGAACACCCAGUCUCUACCAUUUUAUGGAAAAAUGUGAUGGCUUCUGCUAUCCUACCCUUCAUGCAGUGCCCAAUUAUCAAAAUAGUAUAUGUAUACUUGUCGGGACGACAUCCUUUCUCUUCCAUCUCCAUUAGAAUCAUGUUUGCUUCGUCCACCUUUCCACCCUUGCACAGUACAUCAAUCACAGGGUUAUAUAUAAACACUUGUGGUGCAAUGUCUGUUCUCAUGUUCAUUUUUUUCAAAAAAUGAAGCGCUUCCCCUGAUCUGUUCUGCUUACAAAAUGUGUGUAUUAUGAUACAGAACGUGUGUGCAUUUGGUUGAAUAUGGUACUGAGACAUCUCAGCCCAAAUCUUCAUUGCAUCAUCAAGCUGUCCGCACCGACAAUAUCCAUCAAUCAAUGAACUAAAUGUCACAACAUCAGGAAGGCAGCGACGAAGUAUCAUUUGCUGAUACACUGCCACCGCAGACCCCAUAUUCCCAGCCUUGCCAUAUCCAUUGAUUAGCACAUUGUAUGUGACCAAAUUGGGUGAUGUCCCACACGCAACCAUGUCAUCGUAUACUGCCAUUGCAUCCUCCAUCCUGCCAGUCUUACAGUAACCUGAGAUUACUGAGGUGUAUGUCACUACAUUGGGCAUGCAAACACCAUCUCUCUGAAGCCUCCUCAACACCUCACGACCCUUACUCACCUCCUUUGCCCUGCAUAGCCCAUUCACAAGAAUAUUAUGUGUGACAGUAUCUGGCGAGCAACCAAACUCAUCCAUCCUUUCGACCAACUCGAGCGCCUUUUGAACAUCCCCCACCUUGCAAACCCCCUUGAUGACGACAUUAAAGCUCCAGACGUCCGGGGAAUACACUCUCCCCUGGAUCCACCCCUCAAACAAUGCCACAGCGUCCUGCACCCGGCCACGGCCAAUGAACAAGCCCAUGAGCUUGUUAUAUGCAUACGCUUCAAUGGAACAACCAAAUUGGGAUGCCUUUGAGAGCAAUGCUGCAGCAGCAUCAAGAAGGCCUGCAGUGGCGCAGGAACCGGACAGGAACGAGAGAAAACGAGCAUUGGGAAAGUAACCAGACUGGUCCGUCAUUUGGUCGAACAGUUGGAGGGCAUCAGUGUGGCGGCCGGACUGGCACAUCAACGAGAUGACGUAGCGGUAGGAAUGAGCGGACGGGGGGAUGGCGAGCUGGGAGUGGGCGGAAUGCAGCGCAGAGAAGAGGUGGAGCGUCGAGGAGGCGCACGGCGCGUGGCGGAGCGCGGCGGCGGCGGCGGCCUGGGAGGGUGCGAGGCGGCGGAAUGCCGGGAGGUAGUGUGGCAGGAGUAAGGCGGCAGUCGCGAGCGCCUUGGCGAUCCAAAGCUCAGCGUCGUGCAGGGGCGGGUCCUGCGGCGGCGGGCGGUCGAUGGGGUUGUAGGAGUGGAGGAGGCGGAGGAGGGGGUGGCGAGGGGGGAUCCGGAGCUGGAGGAGGCUGUGUAUGAGGAGCUGGGGAGGCAUCGGAGAAGGCGGCGGCGGAUGGUCGCUUGAGAGGAGGAGACGGCGCGGCGGCGGUCAUGGAAUCACGGCGAUGGGGGGAGGCGGCGUAGGCCGCAUGGUGGUGCGUGUGGGAGGGAGAAGAGGGUUUGGCCCGGUUGGGGCUUUUCUGUAAAUCUGUACUGUGCGCAGCGGUCCAACAAUAUCUCGUAUGAAUAUGAUUUUGAUUUGAAGCACAGAUCCACUUGUUUCGCUUGAAUUCGAGUCUGUGUUACUUAAAUGGUUUUGAAGAACUUAUGAAACAGCAGAUUAUUUGGAAUGUGUUGUUGUUGUUUUUGCGAGACAACUUUCAAUAUAUUCAUCCACUGUUAAGGUAAUACAGAAAACACGAGAAGUAAAAUUUACAUCCAGAUCCAUAGACCGCCUACCGACGACUAGAAGCACUGGAGCGAACUGAAGGCGCACCGCCGUCAAAACAACACAAGNNNNNNNNNNNNNNNNNNNNNNNNNNNNNNNNNNNNNNNNNNNNNNNNNNNNNNNNNNNNNNNNNNNNNNNNNNNNNNNNNNNNNNNNNNNNNNNNNNNNNNNNNNNNNNNNNNNNNNNNNNNNNNNNNNNNNNNNNNNNNNNNNNNNNNNNNNNNNNNNNNNNNNNNNNNNNNNNNNNNNNNNNNNNNNNNNNNNNNNNNNNNNNNNNNNNNNNNNNNNNNNNNNNNNNNNNNNNNNNNNNNNNNNNNNNNNNNNNNNNNNNNNNNNNNNNNNNNNNNNNNNNNNNNNNNNNNNNNNNNAGCAAAAAUUAUUGUAGUAGACAGUCGAAAGGUCAACCCCACAGGACCAAUGCACCAGAACAGCAACUGUCGCCCAUGAAGAGAAGUGUAGAUCGGAAGGAUCCAAUCUACAGACACACGAACGUAGAUGAAUGAAGACUGGGUCCACCGAAGACAAACGCCGACCGAAUCCCUCGAGAUCUGCCGGAUACACACCUCCACAUGCUCUUCGACGACGCUUGAAGCAUCACUGGGACGGAGGCUAGGCAAGAAGAAUCUUAUUCCAUAUGCAAGAAAUCAUCGUCGCCUCAUCUUCUUGAGCAUGGCACAAACCCUAACAAAAAGUCAGAAAAGGACCUAAAAACGAAGCCCUCUCACCGGCAAGGGCCGGGAUCCACCACGCCUCCAUGGUCCAAAGACCAUAGGAGAUGAGGCGGAUCACCGGCAUCGAGGAGCAGGAAACCCUAGAUGCGAGUUCGCACGAGGGUGUGUUGUUCCUGUACAAAUUGUUUGCUAAUGACGUGAACAUGGAUUCCAACGAACUUUCAAAAAGAAAAUGGAUAAAACUCAUUAAUAUUAAUACGAUCAAAAUCAAACCAAAUUUGAAGGAAAUAUGCCCUAGAGGCAAUAAUAAAGUUAUUAUUUAUUUCCUUAUAUCAUGAUAAAUGUUUAUUAUUCAUGCUAGAAUUGUAUUAACCGGAAACAUAAUACUUGUGUGAAUACAUAGACAAACAGAGUGUCACUAGUAUGCCUCUACUUGACUAGCUCGUUGAUCAAAGAUGGUUAAAUUUCCUAGCCAUUGACAUGAGUUGUCAUUUGAUUAACGUGAUCGCAUCAUUAGGAGAAUGAUGUGAUUGACUUGACCCAUUCCGUUAGCUUAGCACACGAUCGUUUAGUAUUAUGCUAUUGCUUUCUUCAUGACUUAUACAUGUUCCUAUGACUAUGAGAUUAUGCAACUCCCGUUUACCGGAGGAACACUUUGUGUGCUACCAAACGUCACAACGUAACUGGGUGAUUAUGAAGGUGCUCUACAGGUGUCUCCGAAGGUACUUGUUGGGUUGGCGUAUUUCAAGAUUAGGAUUUGUCACUCCGAUUGUCGGAGAGGUAUCUCUGGGCCCACUCGGUAAUGCACAUCACUUAAGCCUUGCAAGCAUUGCAACUAAUGAGUUAGUUGCUGUAACGCCCACGAUGCGGCUAUAUAUCCCACGUGUCGAGGCACGACUUAGAGGCAUAACCGCAUAGUGGUUUUGUCGCAAGAAGGGUCAUCUUCACACAAUCCCAUGUAAUGAACAAGAAUGGGAUAAAGAGUUGGCUUACAAUCGCCACUUCACACAAUACAUAAAUAUCAUUCAUACAUCAUCCAAAAUACAAUCAUAUAGACCGACUACGGUCAAAAUCCAGAUGAAAAUAAGACAACCCCAAAUGCUAGAUCCCCGAUCAUCCCAACUGGGCUCCACUACUGAUCAUCAGGAAAAGACACAUAGUAACGACCACGUUCCUCGUCGAACUCCCACUUGAGAUCGACGCCGUCAUCUGCACUGGCAUCGUCGGCACCUGCAACUGUUUUGGAAGUAUCUGUGAGUCACGGGGACUCAGCAAUCUCACACCCGCGAGAUCAAGACUAUUUAAGCUUGUAGGACAAAGAGGUGCAAAGAGGUGGAGCUGCAGCGGCAAAAGCAUAUAUGGUGGCUAGCUUGCGCAAAUGAGAGCGAGAAGAGAAGCAACGGAACGGACGUCAUCUAGCAAUGACCAAGAAGAGGUCCUGAACACCUACUUACGUCAUGCAUAAGACAGACCGUGUUCACUUCCCGGACUCCGCCGAGAAGAGACCAUCACGGCUACAUACGCACUUGGUGUAUUUUAAUUGGGUCAAGUGACAAGUUAUCUACAACCGGACAUUAACAAAUUCCCAUCUGCCUCAUAACCGCGGGCACGGCUUUCGAAAGAUAAUACCCUGCAAGGGUGUCCCAACUUAGCCCAUCAUAAGCUCUCACGGUCAACGAAGGAUAAACCUUCUCCCGGAAAGACCCGACCAGUCUCGGAAUCCCGGUUUACAAGACAUCUCGACAAUGGUAAAACAAGACCAGCAAAGCCACCCGAAUGUGCCGACAAAUCCCGAUAGGAGCUGCACAUAUCUCGUUCUCAGGGCACACCGGAUGAGACAUCCUACGAGUAAAAUCAGACCUCGAGUUUCCAGGAGGGGGCCCCGCAGUCUGCUCAGUUCGGACCAACACUCGAAGGAGCACUGGCCCGGGGGGGUUAAAAUAAGAUGACCCUCGGGCUCGCGAAAACCCGGGGGAAAAGGCUUAGGUAGCAAAUAGUAAAACCAAGGUUGGGCCUUGCUGGAGGAGUUUUAUUCAAGGCGAACUGUCAAGGGGGUCCCAUAAAUCACCCGACCGCGUAAGGAACGCAAACUCAAGGAAUAUAAUCCCGGUAUAACAGUAACUAGGGCGGCAAGAGUGGAACAAAACACCAGGCAUAAGGCCGAGCCUUCCACCCUUUACCAAAAUAUUAUAGAUGCAUUAAUUAAAUAAGAGAUAUUGUGAUAUCCCAACAUCUCCAUGUUCCGAUAUGGAACAAACUUCAACUUCACCUGCAACUAGCAACGCUAUAAGAGGGGCUGAGCAAAAGCGGUAACAUAGCCAAACAACGGUUUGCUAGGAAAGGAUGGUUAGGGGCUGACAUGGCUAAAAUGGGAGACAUGAUAUAGCAAGUGAUAGGUAGCGGAGCAUGGCAAUAGAGCGAACAACUAGCAUAGCAAAGAUAGAAGUGAUUUCGAGGGGUGGUCAUCUUGCCUGCAAGGUUCUCAGAGUUGUCGAAAGUUUGAUCCUCGUAAGCGUACUCGACAGGUUCCUCGUUCACGAACUCGUCUCCCGGCUCUACCCAAGACAAGAACACAAGCAAACGGAACCACAAUCAAUCACGAGGAAUGCGCGAGCAACAUGAUGCAGAACAUGUAUGAUAUGCAAGAUAUGAUAUGCGAUGCGUAUGCGUGCUCCGGAAGGAAAAUGAUGAACAUGGCAGUAACUUGGCAAACCAAGCAUGCCACUGGAAAGAUGAGAUGAUUUUGGUCGAAAUCGAUAUAAAGAUCACCGGAAUCGGAUGCACGGUUUGCAAAUGGCAAGCGAAACAAGAAUGACACUAAUCUGCGAUAAAUAGCAAGAUAGCACUUAAAAUACAACAAGUAACAAUGCUACAGCACCCCAACAUAGCAACAAAGCAUAUGGCAGUAAACUACAGGAGAUGCUUGACAAAAGAUGAACACUGAGCUACGGCUAGUUCACAACAUAUCAAGCUCAAACAAGCAUGGCAAAAGUGCAAAAGAUUACAGGCUCACAGACUUAGUGAAAAACUGGACAUGGCAGAAAUCAGCAUCAGGUAGCAAUGUUCAGAGCACGAAAUCAACAUGCUACAGGAACUUAACAUAGCAAAACAAGGCAUGGCAGUGUUCUACUAAAUGCACAUGACAAAAGUCCAUUACUGACCAUAAGCCAAAAAGGACCAGAAGAUAUGAUGGCAAGCAUGUAAACAUAACAAGUUUCGUUAUCAGGUUUCAGACUUAGCAGAAAACAGAGCAUGGCAGAAAUAUUAAUAUGUAGGCCUCUUUGUGAGCUUGAUGCACUCACUACAGAGCAAUGCAUGACAAACCAAGCAUACCUACAGCAAGAUGGCAUGUUUAUGAAGCUAUCCAUAGCAAGAACAAUUACAUAGCAUGUAUGGAUCAACUACAAUAAGCUUGGCAAAAAUGCAUAUCAUGUUAAGAAUCUGCCAGAAAUAUUUUAUAGCAAAAGUAGAGCAAGAUUGAGUCAUGCUAUGGCACUCUAAAAUUGCAAACAAUUGCAGGAAUGGAUCAAUUACAACUAUAGCUACAAAACAUCUUUACUGAACAUCUCCAAAAUAUGCAUGGAUCUCUCUGUAACAUCAAGUUUACAUGGCAACAAAGUUACAGCAGACGAGGACUUAGAGAAAUCACCAAGUCCCUGAAAUCAGAAAUAUUACGGGGCCUAAUUUGCAUGCUUGUGCUAGUCACCACAGAGAUCAAAAAAAUACAUGGACUACACCACUGGAAAGAUGGCAUGGCAUACUUCAAAACACAUGUAGAGCUCAUGCUCAAAAGAUGCACAGAAUAAAUGAUACAAAAAUGACAAAUCUCCAAGUUCUGAUAAGAACCAGAGAUUAACAGCAACUAGCCCUCUUCCAACGAAGAUUUGGGCAUCAAUAUGACCUCUAAAGAAAAUGGUGCAAUUGAACAAAAUGAAGAGCAUCACGAGACGAACAAUUUGACAUAUUACACGCGCGAAUCGGAGCUACAUGCAAGAAGUUAUCGCAUCGGGAACAGGAGCAUAUGCUGAGAAAAAUUAGGACUUAGAAAAAAACGGGCUCGGGGAAAAAGUCAACUCACGCCGAGCGAGAUCCAGAUCGGGGAGCUCCUCGACGGGGCUAGGGACUCCGGUGGGUGGCUCACCGGCGGGAGGAGAGGAGAGGCCGGCGGGCUCGGGCGGAGGGAGGAGGCGGCGACGGAGGAGACGCCGGCGGGGGCGGCGGUCGCCGGAGGCGCAGCGGCGGCGAUGGCCGAGCGGCGGNNNNNNNNNNNNNNNNNNNNNNNNNNNNNNNNNNNNNNNNNNNNNNNNNNNNNNNNNNNNNNNNNNNNNNNNNNNNNNNNNNNNNNNNNNNNNNNNNNNNNNNNNNNNNNNNNNNNNNNNNNNNNNNNNNNNNNNNNNNNNNNNNNNNNNNNNNNNNNNNNNNNNNNNNNNNNNNNNNNNNNNNNNNNNNNNNNNNNNNNNNNNNNNNNNNNNNNNNNNNNNNNNNNNNNNNNNNNNNNNNNNNNNNNNNNNNNNNNNNNNNNNNNNNNNNNNNNNNNNNNNNNNNNNNNNNNNNNNNNNNNNNNNNNNNNNNNNNNNNNNNNNNNNNNNNNNNNNNNNNNNNNNNNNNNNNNNNNNNNNNNNNNNNNNNNNNNNNNNNNNNNNNNNNNNNNNNNNNNNNNNNNNNNNAACUCUAGAGUUCGUCUGCGAAUCCGUUUUUCGGGAUGUCCACAUAUAAAUAGGUAGAGGGAGCUAGGAGACUCCAAAUGAGGUGCGGUUUUCGCCCACACGAUCGUGAUCGAACGACCUAGAGCAUGGAAGAGAGUUUGGUGGGUUUUGGGCUGAUUUUGGAUGGGGUUUUUGCUGGACACUCAAAUGGACUUUGCGGAUGCCCGGUUAACCGUUGGAGUACCAAACGACCUCCGAAUGGAACGAAACUUGACCGGUAGUCUCCGGGUGGUAUAUUAAGACCACUUGACAAGCCUCGGUCCAUUCCAAAAAAGUUUGACACACGCACACGAAAGACAACAAGAGGGGUGCACCGGAGGAGAUAGGAGCGCCGGAUUGGAAAACGGACAACGGGGAAAAUGCUCGGAUGCAUGAGACGAACACGUAUGCGAAUGCAAUGCACAUGAUGACAUGAUAUGAAAAUGCAUGACAUGACAAAAUACAAAACGAAAGACAAAACCCGACAACGGAGGGAAAAACAUAUCACAUAGCCGGAAAUGGCAAGAGUCGGAGUUACAAAUAUGGCAAGUUACAUGCGGGGUGUUACAGUUGCGGAAUGAUGUAUUACAGAACGAGUAAAGAGACUUGCCGGUAACGAGAUUGAACUAGGUAUUGAGAUACCGACGAUCGAAUCUCGGGCAAGUAACAUACCGAUGACAAAGGGAACAACAUAUGUUGUUAUGUCGUCUGACCGAUAAAGAUCUUCGUAGAAUAUGUGGGAGCCAAUAUGAGCAUCCAGGUUCCGCUAUUGGUUAUUGACCGGAGACGUGUCUCGGUCAUGUCUACAUAGUUCUCGAACCCGUAGGGUCUGCACACUUAAAGUUUCGAUGACAGUUAUAUUAUGAGUUUAUAUGUUUGAUGUACCGAAGGUUGUCGGAGUCCCGGAUGUGAUCACGGACAUGACGAGGAGUCUCGAAAUGGUCGAGACAUGAAGAUUGAUAUAUUGGACGACUAUAUUCGGACACCGGAAUGGUUCCGGGGGUUAUCGGAUAUAUACCGGAGUACCGGGGGGUUACCGGAACCCCCCCGGGGGAUUAAUGGGCCUACAUGGGCCUUAGUGGAGAAGAGAAGGGGCGGCCAGGGCAGGUCGCACGCCCCCUCCCUCUCUAGUCCGAAUUGGACAAGGAGGGGGGGCGGCGCCCCCCUUUCCUUCUUCUCCUCCUCCUCUUUCCCCCCUUCUCCUAAUCCAACAAGGAAGGGAGGGAGUCCUACUCCCGGUGGGAGUAGGACUCCUCCUGGCGCGCCCCUCUCCUGGCCGGCCGCCUCUCCCCCCCUUGCUCCUUUAUAUACGGGGGCAGGGGGCACCCUAAAGACACAACAAUUGCUCAUUGAUCUUUUAGCCGUGUGCGGUGUCCCCCUCCACCAUAGUCCACCUCGAUAAUAUCGUAGCGAUGCUUAGGCGAAGCCCUGCGUCGGUAGAACAUCAUCAUCGUCACCACGCCGUCGUGCUAACGAAACUCUCCCUCAACACUCAGCUGGAUCGGAGUUCGAGGGACGUCAUCGGGCUGAACGUGUGCUGAACUCGGAGGUGCCGUGCGUUCGGUACUUGAUCGGUCGGAUCGUGAAGACGUACGACUACAUCAACCGUGUUGUGCUAACGCUUCCGCUUUCGGUCUACGAGGGUACGUGGACACACUCUCCCCUCUCGUUGCUAUGCAUCACCAUGAUCUUGCGUGUGCGUAGGAAAUUUUUUGAAAUUACUACGUUACCCAAACAGUGGCAUCCGAGCCUGGUUUUAUGCGUAGAUGUCAUAUGCACGAGUAGAACACAAGUGAGUUGUGGGCGAUAUAAGUCAUACUGCUUACCAGCAUGUCAUACUUUGGUUCGGCAGUAUUGUUGGAUGAAGCGGCCCGGACUGACAUUACGCGUACGCUUAGCGAGACUGGUUCUACCGACGUGCUUUGCACACAGGUGGCUGGCGGGUGUCAGUUUCUCCAACUUUAGUUGAACCGAGUGUGGCUACGCCCGGUCCUUGCGAAGGUUAAAACAACACCAACUUGACAAACUAUCGUUGUGGUUUUGAUGCGUAGGUAAGAACGGUUCUUGCUAAGCCCGUAACAGCCACGUAAAAUUUGCAACAACAAAGUAGAGGACAUCUAACUUGUUUUUUGCAGGGCAUGUUGUGAUGUGAUAUGGUCAAGGCAUGAUGCUAAAUUUUAUUGUAUGAGAUGAUCAUGUUUUGUAACCGAGUUAUCGGCAACUGGCAGGAGCCAUAUGGUUGUCGCUUUAUUGUAUGCAAUGCAAUCGCCCUAUAAUGCUUUACUUUAUCACUAAGCGGUAGCGAUAGUCGUAGAAGCAUAAGAUUGGCGAGACGACAACGAUGCUACGAUGGAGAUCAAGGUGUCGCGCCGGUGACGAUGGUGGUCAUGACGGUGCUUCGGAGAUGGAGAUCACAAGCACAAGAUGAUGAUGGCCAUAUCAUAUCACUUAUAUUGAUUGCAUGUGAUGUUUAUCUUUUAUGCAUCUUAUCUUGCUUUGAUUGACGGUAGCAUUAUAAGAUGACCUCUCACUAAAUUAUCAAAGUAUAAGUGUUCUCCCUGAGUAUGCACCGUUGCGAAAGUUCUUCAUGCUGAGACACCACAUGAUGAUCGGGUGUGAUAGGCUCUACGUUCAAAUACAACGGGUGCAAAACAGUUGCACACGCGGAAUACUCAGGUUAAACUUGACGAGCCUAGCAUAUAACAGAUACGGCCUCGGAACACGGAGACCGAAAGGUCGAGCGUGAAUCAUAUAGUAGAUAUGAUCAACAUAGUGAUGUUCACCAUUGAAACUACUCCAUCUCACGUGAUGAUCGGACAUGGUUUAGUUGAUUUGGAUCACGUGAUCACUUAGAGGAUUGGAGGGAUGUCUAUCUAAGUGGGAGUUCUUAAGUAAUAUGAUUAAUUGAACUUAAAUUUAUCAUGAACUUAGUACCUGAAAGUAUUUUGCUUGUCUAUGUUGAUUGUAGAUAGAUGGCCCGUGCUGUUGUUCCGUUGAAUUUUAAUGCGUUCCUUGAGAAAGCAAAGUUGAAAUAUGAUGAUAGCAAUUACAUGGACUGGGUCCGUAACUUGAGGAUGAUCCUCAUUGCUGCACAGAAGAAUUACGUCCUGGAAGCACCGCUGGGUGCCAGACCUGUUGCAGGAGCAACACCAGAUGUUAUGAACGUCUGACAGAGCAAAGCUGAUGACUACUCGAUAGUUUAGUGUGACAUGCUUUACGGCUUAGAACCGGGUCUUCAACGAUGUUUUGAACGUCAUGGAGCAUAUGAGAUGUUCCAGGAGUUGAAGUUAAUAUUUCAAGCAAAUGCCCGGAUUGAGAGAUAUGAAGUCUACAAUAAGUUCUACAGCUGUAAGAUGGAGGAGAAUAGUUCUGUCAGUGAGCAUAUACUCAAAAUGUCUGGGUAUAACAAUCACUUGAUUCAACUGGGAGUUAAUCUUCUGGAUGAUAGCAUCAUUGACAGAAUUCUUCAAUCACUGCCACCAAGCUACAAGAGCUUCGUGAUGAACUAUAACAUGCAAGGGAUGGAUAGGACGAUUCCCGAGCUCUUCGCAAUGCUAAAGGCUGCAGAGGUAGAAAUCAAGAAGGAGCAUCAAGUGUUGAUGGUCGAUAAGACCACCAGUUUCAAGAAAAAGGGCAAAGGGAAGAAGAAGGGGAACUUCAAGAAGAACAGCAAGCAAGUUGCUGCUCAAGAGAAGAAACCCAAGUCUGGACCUAAGCCUGAGACUGAGUGCUUCUACUGCAAGAAGACUGGUCACUAGAAGCGGAACUGCCCCAAGUAUUUGGCGGAUAAGAAGGAUGGCAAGGUGAACAAAGGUAUAUGUGAUAUACAUGUUAUUGAUGUGUACCUUACUAAUGCUCGCAGUAGCACCUGGGGUAUUUGAUAGUGGUUCUGUUGCUAAUAUUUGCAACUCGAAACAGGGACUACGGAUUAAGCGAAGAUUGGCUAAGGACGAGGUGACGAUGCGCGUGGGAAAUGGUUCCAAAGUCGAUGUGAUCGCGGUCGGCACGCUACCUCUACAUCUACCUUCGGGAUUAGUUUUAGACCUGAAAAAUUGUUAUUUGGUGCCAGCGUUGAGCAUGAACAUUAUAUCUGGAUCUUGUUUGAUGCGAGACGUUUAUUCAUUUAAAUCAGAGAAUAAUGGUUGUUCUAUUUAUAUGAGUAAUAUCUUUUAUGGUCAUGCACCCUUGAAGAGUGGUCUAUUUUUGUUGAAUCUCGAUAGUAGUGAUACACAUAUUCAUAAUAUUGAAGCCAAAAGAUGCAGAGUUGAUAAUGAUAGUGCAACUUAUUUGUGGACUGCCGUUUAGGUCAUAUCGGUGUAAAGCGCAUGAAGAAACUCCAUACUGAUGGACUUUUGGAACCACUUGAUUAUGAAUCACUUGGUACUUGCGAACCGUGCCUCAUGGGCAACAUGACUAAAACGCCGUUCUCCGGUACUAUGGAGCGAGCAACAGAUUUAUUGGAAAUCAUACAUACAGAUGUAUGUGGUCCGAUGAAUAUUGAGGCUCGUGGCGGAUAUCGUUAUUUUUCCACCUUCACAGAUGAUUUGAGCAGAUAUGGGUAUAUCUACUUGAUGAAACAUAAGUCUGAAACAUUUGAAAAGUUCAAAGAAUUUCAGAGUGAAGUUGAAAAUCAUCGUAACAAGAAAAUAAAGUUUCUACGAUCUGAUCGUGGAGGAGAAUAUUUGAGUUACGAGUUUGGUCUUCAUUUGAAAUAAUGCGGAAUAGUUUCGCAGCGCACGCCACCCGGAACACCACAGCGUAAUGGCGUGUCCGAACGUCGUAAUCGUACUUUACUUGAUAUGCUGCAAUCUAUGAUGUCUCUUACUGAUUUACCGCUAUUGUUUUGGGGUUAUGCUUUAGAGAUGGCUGCAUUCACGUUAAAUAGGACACCAUCGAAAUCCGUUGAGACGACGCCUUAUGAACUGUGGUUUGGCAAGAAACCAAAGUUGACGUUUCUUAAAGUUUGGGGCUGCAAUGCUUAUGUGAAAAAGCUUCAACCUGAUAAGCUCGAACCCAAAUCGGAGAAAUGUGUCUUCAUAGGAUACCCAAAGGAGACUGUUGGGUACACCUUCUAUCACAAAUCCGAAGGCAAGACUUUUGUUGCUAAAUUUGGAAUAUUUCUAGAGAAUGAGUUUCUCUCGAAAGAAGUGAAUGGGAGGAAAGUAGAACUUGAUGAGGUAACUGUACCUGCUCCCUUAUUGGAAAGUAGUUCAUCACAGAAACCGGUUCUUGUGGCACCUACACCAAUUAGUGAGGACGUUAAUGAUGAUGAUCAUGAAACUUCAGAUCAAGUUGUUACUGAACCUCAUAGGUCAACCAGAGUAAGAUCCGCACCAGAGUGGUACGGUAAUCCUGUUCUGGAAGUUAUGUUACUAGACCAUGACGAACCUACGAACUAUGAAGAAGCGAUGGUGAGCCCAGAUUCCGCAAAAUGGCUUGAGUCCAUGAAAUCUGAGAUGGGAUCCAUGUAUGAGAACAAAGUGUGGACUUUGGUUGACUUGCCCGAUGAUCGGCAAGCCAUUGAGAAUAAAUGGAUCUUCAAGAAGAAGACUGACGCUGACGGUAAUGUUACUGUCUAUAAAGCUCGACUUGUUGCAAAAGGUUUUCGACAAGUUCAAGGGGUUGGCUACGAUGAGACCUUCUCACCCGUAGCGAUGCUUAAGUCUGUCUAAAUCAUUUUAGCAAUUGCCGCAUUUUAUGAUUAUGAAAUUUGGCAAAUGGAUGUAGAAACUGCAUUCCUGAAUGGAUUUCUGGAAGAAGAGUUGUAUAUGAUGCAACCUGAAGGUUUUAUCAAUCCAAAGGAUGCUAACAAAGUGUGCAAGCUCCAGCGAUCCAUUUAUGGACUGGUGCAAGCAUCUCGGAGUUGGAAUAAACGUUUUGAUAGUGUGAUCAAAGCAUAUGGUUUUAUACAGACUUUUGGAGAAGCCUGUAUUUACAAGAAAGUGAGUGGGAGCUCUGUAGCAUUUCUAAUAUUAUAUGUGGAUGACAUAUUGCUGAUUGGAAAUGAUAUAGAAUUUCUGAAUAGCGUAAAACGAUACUUGAAUAAAAGUUUUUCAAUGAAAGACCUCGGUGAAGCUGCUUAUAUAUUAGGCAUCAAGAUCUAUAGAGAUAGAUCAAGACGCUUAAUUGGACUUCACAAAGCACAUACCUUGAUAAAGUUUUGAACAAGUUCAAAAUGGAUCAAGCAAAGAAAGGGUUCUUGCCUGUGUUACAAGGUGUGAAGUUGAGUAAGACUCAAUGCCCGACCACUGCAGAAGAUAGAGAGAAGAUGAAAUAUGUUCCCUAUGCUUCAGCCAUAGGCUCUAUCAUGUAUGCAAUGCUGUGUACCAGACCUGAUGUGUGCCUUGCUAUAAGUUUAGCAGGGAGGUACCAAAGUAAUCCAGGAGUGGAUCACUGGACAGCGGUCAAGAACAUCCUGAAAUACCUGAAAAGAACUAAGGAUAUGUUUCUCGUUUAUGGAGGUGACAAAGAGCUCAUCGUAAAUGGUUACGUUGAUGCAAGCUUUGACACUGAUCCGGACGAUUCUAAAUCGCAAACCGGAUACAUGUUUACAUUGAACGGUGGAGCUGUCAGUUGGUGCAGUUCUAAACAAAGCGUCGUGGCGAGAUCUACGUGUGAAGCGGAGUACAUAGCUGCUUCGGAAGCAGCAAAUGAAGGAGUCUGGAUGAAGGAGUUCAUAUCCGAUCUAGGUGUCAUACCUAGUGCAUCGGGUCCAAUGAAAAUCUUUUGUGACAAUACUGGUGCAAUUGCCUUGGCGAAGGAAUCCAGAUUUCACAAGAGAACCAAGCACAUCAAAAGACGCUUCAAUUCCAUCCGGGAUCUAGUCCAGGUCGGAGACAUAAAAAUUUGCAAGAUACAUACGGAUCUGAAUGUUGCAGACCCGUUGACUAAGCCUCUUCCACGAGCAAAACAUGAUCAGCACCAAGGCUCCAUGGGUGUUAGAAUCAUUACUGUGUAAUCUAGAUUAUUGACUCUAGUGCAAGUGGGAGACUGAAGGAAAUAUGCCCUAGAGGCAAUAAUAAAGUUAUUAUUUAUUUCCUUAUAUCAUGAUAAAUGUUUAUUAUUCAUGCUAGAAUUGUAUUAACCGGAAAUAUAAUACUUGUGUGAAUACAUAGACAAACAGAGUGUCACUAGUAUGCCUCUACUUGACUAGCUCGUUGAUCAAAGAUGGUUAAGUUUCCUAGCCAUUGACACGAGUUGUCAUUUGAUUAAUGGGAUCACAUCAUUAGGAGAAUGAUCUGCUUGACUUGACCCAUUCCGUUAGCUUAGCACACGAUCGUUUAGUAUUCCGCUAUUGCUUUCUUCAUGACUUAUACAUGUUCCUAUGACUAUGAGAUUAUGCAACUCCCGUUUACCGGAGGAACACUUUGUGUGCUACCAAACGUCACAACGUAACUGGGUGAUUAUAAAGGUGCUCUACAGGUGUCUCCGAAGGUACUUGUUGGGUUGGCGUAUUUCAAGAUUAGGAUUUGUCACUCCGAUUGUCGGAGAGGUAUCUCUGGGCCCACUCGGUAAUGCACAUCACUUAAGCCUUGCAAGCAUUGCAACUAAUGAGUUAGUUGCGGAAUGAUGUAUUAUAGAACGAGUAAAGAGACUUGUCGGUAACGAGAUUGAACUAGGUAUUGAGAUACCGACGAUCGAAUCUCGGGCAAGUAACAUACCGAUGACAAAGGGAACAACGUAUGUUGUUAUGCCGUCUGACCGAUAAAGAUCUUCGUAGAAUAUGUGAGAGCCAAUAUGAGCAUCCAGGUUCCGCUAUUGGUUAUUGACCGGAGACGUGUCUCGGUCAUGUCUACAUAGUUCUCGAACCCGUAGGGUCCGCACGCUUAAAGUUUCGAUGACAGUUAUAUUAUGACUUUAUAUGUUUUGAUGUACCGAAGGUUGUUCAGAGUCCCGGAUGUGAUCACGGACAUGACGAGGAAUCUCGAAAUGGUCGAGACAUGAAGAUUGAUAAUUGGACGACUAUAUUCGGACACCGGAAUGGUUCCGGGGGUUAUCGGAUAUAUACCGGAGUACCGGGGGGUUACCGGAACCCCCGAGGGGGAUUAAUGGGCCUACAUGGGCCUUAGUGGAGAAGAGGAGGGGCGGCCAGGGCAGGUCGCGCGCCCCCUCCCCCUCUAGUCCGAAUUGGACAAGGAGGGGGGGCGGCGCCCCCCUUUCCUUCUUCUCCUCCUCUUUCCCCCCUUCUCCUAAUCCAACAAGGAGGGAGGGAGUCCUACUCCCGGUGGGAGUAGGACUCCUCCUGGCGCGCCCCUCUCCUGGCUGGCCGCCUGUCCCCCCUUGCUCCUUUAUAUACGGGGGCAGGGGGACACCCCAAAGACACAACAAUUGAUCAUUAAUCUUUUAGCCGUGUGCGGUGCCCCGUCCACCAUAGUCCACCUCGAUAAUAUCGUAGCGGUGCUUAGGCGAAGCUCUGCGUCGGUAGAACAUCAUCAUCGUCACCACGCCGUCGUGCUGACGAAACUCUCCCUCAACACUCGGCUGGAUCGGAGUUCGAGGGACGUCAUCGGGCUGAACGUGUGCUGAACUCGGAGGUGUCGUGCGUUCGGUACUUGAUCGGUCGGAUCGUGAAGACGUACGACUACAUCAACCGCGUUGUGCUAAUGCUUCCGCUUUCGGUCUACAAGGGUACGUGGACACACUCUCCCCUCUCGUUGCUAUGCAUCACCAUGAUCUUGCGUGUGCGUAGGAUUUUUUUUUGAAAUUACUACGUUACCCAAACAGAAUUCACAUAUUGAAUACCAAUACAAACUAUUAUAUCAUCUCGAUAAACUUGCGACACUAUGAUUUGCACAUAAAGAUGGCAAUGAAGCAGGGUUUGCAUAGGUAUACAAAUAAUGAACCAUGCACGUUUCGAGAAAGAUCUGUGUUAACCGUACAUGAAGAUACACAUAUCACAAAAUUGUGUCCAUAUCCAGUUAGGCUUCUCGAACUGGCUCUAGACGUCCAGGCUGACCGGCACCCCUCAUAUCCAGCCCAAAUUUUAGGUGGAUAUAAGGAGGCCCGGACGCGCUCGGGGGAGGUAUGGACGCGUUCGUCGCGUUGGAUUCGACAUGAAGGACCCAUCACAAAUUGCACCAAUUCCUCCCGCUCCGACCUUGUUGAGAGCUAUUUGCCUCUUCUCCCUCUCCCACCCAGUCCCUCGACUAGCCGCGCCGCCAACCUAGCUCUGCCGCCGUCUCGACCCCUCAACACCGCCACCACUGCCACCAACCUCCUCUCGUCCUUCUCGCCGCUCCGGACACCGCCGCGUUACAUCACACUAUUCUUGGACUACAACUUGCCCUCUAUGUGUUUGACAAUUGUCCUACCAAAAUGUUUUAUUCCUUUCUCGAAAAAUUAUGGAUUCUGAUGAUUUGUCGAAUGAGGAGUAUGGAAGGACGGAGCUUGAUGAGUUAAUGCAAAAGGAAUUGUUUGAUGCGUAUGAGUCAGACGAAGAUAUUGAGAUGUUGAUGAUCAUGAGCAUCCAGGAGGAAAUGUACAUGGAGGUGGAGCACAUUCUGAACUUCAAAGGUUCGAUCAAAGGGUGAAGAAUUUUGAGCUGGGACAGGGCCGCUAGAGUGCGGCUCCUCUACAAGGACUAGUUCCACCCCUUACGAACAUUCCCUGAUACAUGGCUUCGUCAAUGCUUCCGUAUGUGCAACCCCUUGUUAUUGCGUGUUGUGGAGGGAGUGGAGGCACAUGAUUCCUACUGCAAGCUCAUCAGGGAUUGAUGAAGACAACUCUUGUUUUCUGCUAAGCAGAAGUGCACGACUUCUAUGAUGAUGCUUGCACUAGGUCCCGCCGCUGAUGCCGUUGGUGAGAUGGUCCAGGCAGGGGAGAGCACAUGCUUGAAGACCGUUUUUAGAUUUGCACGCAUCAUGGUGCAGGUGUUUGGAGCAGAGUAUGUGAGAGAACCACAUGACAUAGAAAAGUUAAUGGCUAUUGGAGCGUCAAGAGGCUUUCCAGGUAUGAUCGGUUCUAUCGCAUGCAUUGACUCAAAGUUUUGCGUGGGAUGCACCAAGGUCACACCAAAGAGGCCACCAUCAUACUCAAAGCAGUGAUAUCAAAAAGACUUGUGGAUUUGGCAUGCUAUCGUUGACAUGCUUGAUUCUCACAAUGACAUCACUAUCCUCCAACGAUCUUCCGUGUUCAGGAGACUUUGCAAAUGGGGGAAGUGCCGCCGUACAGCUACACUGUCAACGGGCGCUGACUAUGAUAUGGGUACUCCCUUGCAAACAAUAUUUAUACUCAACAGGCGUUGUUUGUGAAGACCAUAUCUGAUCCCCAUGCCAACAAAUAGAGCCACUUUUGCAGGGAUGCAAAAACGAGAUAGGAAGGAUGCGGGGAGGGCAUUCAGAGUGCUCCAAACUCAUUAAGGAAUUGUUCAUCGAGCUGCAAUGACGUGGGAAUCCGAGACUUUGUGGCAAUUGAUGACAUGUUGUGUCAUUUUGCACAAUAUGAUUGUCGAGGACAAGGAUGAAGGGGCUAUCCGAACCCAUGAUUUUGAUAAACCCAGAGAACAAGUCCACAUCUUGUAUCCAGAUGCAGAUCAGAUUAUUAAUUUUCUGCAGAUACAUCAAAAUCUCCGAGAUGAACAGGUACACGUGCAGCUACUAAUGAUUUUGUGGAGCUAUGUGGAUCCACAGUGAAAACCUAGGAGAAAAUCAAGGAGUUUAAUGUUUGCAUCAUGCACUUCUCAAAUACAUUUUCUGUUUGAACUAUGUAUUUCAAAUAUGAACCAUGUUUAAAUUAUGAAAUUAUUUAACUCUGUUGUGAUAUUCUUAUGUUUGUAGAUGCUCUAAGCUGGAUGAAUUUAGCACACGGGGAAGGCAAAGGGGACAAAAGACUUUUUUGUCCUCGUACGCUGUAUACAGAAACGCGAGGGUGCGACGCGCAAAAGCACUGCUCUAGUAGAUUGCGGCCGGGGUGGGCCGGCCGAUCGCUCAUUCGGCUUUUCCGCCUCGCUGCCGCCGCCCAAAAUCCACCUGGGAAGAAGAAAAGAGGGGCCUCUUCUCUUCCUCUCUCGCGUCCGAUGGCCUCGAGCCCGGGCGUCGGCGGCGGAGGGGCGGACGGCGGCGGAGGGGAUGGACCGACGACGCUCGACGAGCUGUACCACAUCAACGUCGUGCCGGCCGAGCUGCACUUCAAGUUCCGCAAGGAGCUCCAGGGCCUCCGCGUGGGCCUCAACUUCGAGGUCAGUAACCCUGCUUAAACCCUAAUUCCCGAGUGUUGGGCUGCCCGUAGAUUUGUCCCCCAGUUAUUUCGCUCCAGUAGUCCAAUGUAUCUCGCAAGAUUCCGUUAGGCCAAACGUUGGUGGUAUGCGCCUACUUACUCUGCUGAUGUUGCUGCCUCCUUGCCCCUGGUGUACACUGGGACAGUAUCCACCCGCCCACAGUCUUGUCAGUUGGAGUUAUAGGGUUAUGCUGCCAAUUUGCCACAGUGGCCAUUGUCACUCUCUGUGAUGUGUGUAACCAGUUCACCUGUGAUCUGAGUGUCUAAUGCCAUAUAUCAUUUUCAGUUCUACAACCUAGAGGUGAAUGAUUUUGAGGCAAAGGUAGUUCUGAAGCCCCUGGACUUUGACCGGAAGUGGAAGUUCCAGUACAAGCCCAUCAGUGGUGACAUACAGCUGCUUUCCAAGAAGAUACCAGUCACAAAAUAUCUCAACCUUCAGGUUCUUUGCUUAAUUCAAUCUUUCUAUUCAUGUAUAUCGUUUAUGUGAGAGCAAGAAGUGAUUACAUAUUUGGCACGGCUUUGUGGUGAGGCAACUGCCAGCUAGUCCGCACUACUUCUUGCAAUAUGGCAUGUUAUGGCGCAAUUAGAUAUGUUAAAUUACCCAUGAAUGUACUAAUUAUAUUUUUGAUGAUUGGUAUUAGUUUUUCUCAUGGAAGACAUGCCAGUUUAUGCAUGCACUAGGUAUCUGCUUGCUUGAUGCAUGGAAUGAAUGUAAGCAGAAUUGAGAAAUGAGAAUAGAAGUUGGAUCAGUUCAUAUAUCAGUUUUGGAAUACUAAAAGAUUAUCAUCUUUAUGUACUUCUAUGAUGGUUCUGAUAAUGAAAUGUUAAAGACAAAUAUUUUUGUUACAACACUAUUAAACCUACUUGUUUUCUAUAGAAAGUGUUGCUUAUAUAUGUGACUGCUUUGAUCUGAGUAUUUUUCACUGGUAUACAUCAACUUUAUUACAAGAAACUAGAAGUGCUAUGUUGCCCUCUUUUGUGAUAUAGAGAUGUUCUUGGGUGUUGGUAAGGAUACAAUUUCCCUGCUCUAUGCGUUAGUUUGUAACAUCCAUGGGGAAAUAUGGCGCUUAGUCACACAUGCCAAAUUUUGGGUCACUAAAACGAUACUGUUUCUGGGGUUAUAACAGUAUCCUCUGGUGAUUACCGAUUGCUAUUUUCAUCAGUUUUCAAUCACCGCGGCAAAUUGGUCCUUCAAAAUGGUACACGAAAGAUUGUGCUGCAUUUCUUCAAAUGUAAACAUCAGGAUGAGACUUUACACCAUUUGACUUGGCAAGAAUGUCAGCUUUACCGUUACUUGGUUGCAAAUGACUUGUAAUCCCCAUCCGCAUAUAGCAAAUAUAGACGCUUUGCAUCCCUGGUACACCAGAUUAGGUGGCCGCACCACAUGGCCAAACUUGUGAAGGCCAAAGUUGAAGAGACAAAAUGCCCUUUUUUCAGAGUUCACUUCGAUUACAUGAGAUUUCUAAUAACAUUGGUAAUACAGGUCGGCAUUGGUCACAAUUUCCAACUGAAGGCAACUGGAUGGAAGUGGAAGCUCUCUACUUGCUUGGGGGGAGAUGGUGUUUCUCAGAUAAGAAACAAAUCAAAACUCAACGUGUUUCCAGGGUUUGAUCUGAGGCUCGGUUGGAAAGCUGAAUAUGUGCUUCCUGAGAUUCAUGGGUAAGUCUUGGUCAACACCAAAAUAUUCUUGCGAGACAUACUUGCAAUUGCAAGCAGGAUAUCACUACAAUUCAACUUAUUUUUAUAUUUGCUCUAUGCAGGGCUGUUGGCACAGGAGAACCUGCCUUCAGUAUGAACUAUGGACGAUUGCAAGCAUCCAUAGACCGGGUUGAGGCUAUUGUGACCCAAUCAGAUCGGCACUGAACCUCCUAGGAUGAGCAGACCAGGACGUUGAUGAUGUUAUGGUCGGCGAAGCAAGGGAGUUCUUUGGCUACAAUUUCCUCUGCAAAAUCCGAUGGUUUACUCAUGUCUUUUGAGGCUUUGCAUCUGAUGUACAGAAAUGAGCAAACAUUGUUUUACCAACAUAAAGGAGUAUUUUCGAGUUUAUCUGGACCGUUUUUCGUCGCUUUGUUUUGAAGAGCAUAAUGAAUAAUGCUCUUGCUGCUUGUAGUUGGCACAUAAAACUAGUUCGGGCUCUGAAUCUCAUAUUGCUAGCCACUACCAGAGUUCAGGCUCUGAAUCUCACCUUGCUCAUUAGAUUUCACGGCCGCAACGACCUAACUUGACUACCAACAUACACUGGCAGUACAUCUAAAAAAACGGCAAUAACCUAGGCUACAUCUGAUGGGGUGCUUGUACAUGUUGUAUUCUAACACAUUACCAUUCCAAAAUAACCGACUACACAGCUCGCAUAGAUAGACCUGUAUACCAAGGGAAAAAAGACUGCAAUGAUGUAUAUUAUCUUAACAAUCCUUCAUUCGCCGGUUCAAACAGUAUACUGCUAUAAAAAACAUUGUCUAUUUCGAUUACUAAGCUUCAUCCUGAUAAUGAUGACAAGGGUCAGUAAUUCAUUUGCUCUUGCGCUCAUUGUUGUAGUCAUCAAUCAGUCUCUCAAC
rnacentral:lncRNA from 1 species